UUGCUUUGGGAGAACAUGGGCUAUCUUUUUCUUCUUCUUUUUUUCAGGUGGGUAGUAGAUACCCCUAAUUCUACUGUCGGACACUUGUCCAUUUUUUCCGCUCAAGUGGGCAUCUUUGUACCCCUAAUUCUACUUCAGACACUUGUCCAUUUUUACCUCUCGUCUCACUCUUUUUUCUUUUAUCGAGGUUCCGGGCACUUGCCCCUUUUUAUUUCCUCAUAUAUUUUUGCAUAACCCAUGCCUCUUCUGCAUUGAAUCUUUUUAGAGAGAGAUAAUAACAAUAUUUGGGAGAGUGAGUGAUAAUAUUUUUAGCAAUUUUAAUGAUUGGUGAUGAAUGCUGUGGUAGAUGUGUGCAAGUGAAUAUCUAAAUUUAACCACAUGAAAACCUCCUAAGGGUCUACACAGCUCGAUCAAACUCAAUGUAAAUAUAGUAAAAGAUGUUAUAGCAAGUAUGGCUGUGGUAGGUAGUUUUGUUAUGCUAGGAACUCAUUAUGGGAUUUGUAAGUUUUUAAAAUAAAUCUCUAGAACUUAGUGUAGUAGGAACAAGAUAAAUAGCAGCUCAAACUUUAUAUUAUACCUUUCUCUUACCUAGACUUUAGUUUUAUAUUUUCCAUAGAUAGUAAUUUCUGUUUUAGUAAUUCCUGGAAGAACUCUAAUAUAAAAGCUAGGUACUUGUAAGUAAGCAAACAGAGCAACUGUUCAUCAUUUCCAUCAUGCAUCUUUUUGGUCUUUUUAUUUUUCUAGAGAUUAAACUUAGCAGGAAAAAUAAAGCACACUUAUCUACACACUCUUUUUAUUUUGUUUUCAUGUUUAUAAAAUGCAGUAAAUUAAAGCAACAAAAUAUUUAUUGGAUUUUCUAAGUUUUUCCUUUUAAGAUAAAAUACUGAAAUAGAAAAGAAUAAAUAAGUAGAGCAAAUAAAAACUUACUUGAUAAAUUGGGGAGGAACUCCCCCAAGCUGGAUGUUGACGUCGGUCUUACCCGAUAUUCCAGAACCGCAUCAUAGUUGUGAUGUUGUCGUUCAUUGUUGUUGUAUCUUGUCUCAGCUCUUCUACUGCAGCAGCAUGGUCCUGGUUCCAUUUUUGUUGCUCUUCCACGAGUCGUCCAUGUUCUGCUUGCGUGUUCUGGAUGUCGAGGAUAGUGUUGUCGGUACGAGUGAAGAAAGCACCGGCCUCUUGGUAGUAGUCAUUCGUGAAAGCGUAGGAGGCGUCGGAGUAUCGUCCUGCAUCAAAUUGGGGCGGAGGUCUGGAUCCUGAAGCUCCAUAUGGAUCAGUGGAGUACCUGCCCGUAUGAAAAGGCGGGUUUGUCCACUGGUGAUCUCGGCUCUCCGGCCAUGUCUCCUCUGUUGGCUCUUGUGGUUGCGCAUGUCGAACCCAUGGGUCUCGAAGGACUCGAGGGUUGUAGUUGCAAUAAUGCAGGUGCGCUGCUUCUUCUGGUCCAUGGUCAGCACCAUACCAGGUGCGUUCUCGGUGAGUGGUCAUCCUUUCAGAUGCCACUCGCUGUGGAGUUCUCUGGUUCACUGGUGUUGCUGCAAUCUCAAUCAAAAAGUUUUGAACAACGUAGAGGCCAAGGUUCGGGUUAGGUAACCAAAUCUUGCCUUUAUCAUCAUAUAGCAUAUACAUUACAUUCCCCUCUUUCUUUAACAUCCGAGCUUGUCUAAAUGUGUCAUAGCCAUGAUAAAUUCUUAACUCAUUUAUAAAGUCCAACGAUGAGUUUUCUAGUAAGUGAAGAUUAAAGGCUAGACGAGUGAUAAGUGAAGUACAUCCUACUAGUCCCUGAAGACUAGGUACACUAAGCCAAUGAGAAACUAAUAGUGUAACAGGUGAAGUGGGUACUUUAUUAAUAGCAGCAUAUAAAAGUUGUAAAUCUCCUACUCUUACUUUCCUAAUAUCAUCACGAUAGAAAAGAUUGUACCCAAGCCAUUUGUGGAACAUCCUAAGAGUGGGGUGUUCCAUGUCACUGGUUCGGGCUUGACUAUAAAAAUUAUCUCUAGAUAUUUCUCUCCAAAACUGGUGUCUCUCAAAGUUAGGUAAGUCGGAGUCAAUGUUCAGGAUGCAUUUUGAAGAGAAACCAAGAUGGUCGCUCAGUUCUCUCCAAGACAACAUAAUCUCCUGUUUGAACAUCCGAAAAACAAUUCCCCCCUCAUAGUAUUGUAAAGUGCAAAGAAAUUCGAGGGUGAGAAGACGAGAACCCAGCUCAGUUAUAGUCCAAAAAUUUGUCCAACCUAUCAUCUGCAAAAAUAAGUCAAAUUCAGUGUCCAUACCUGUUUCUUGUAGUAAGAUUGGAUCGAGAGUAGGGGUGUGAAUGAAAUCUUUGUUCUUCAAUUGCUGAUAGACUUCCUUCUCUCUUCGGGUCUUCAGUCCAAGGUCUCCUAUCUUGAGAAGGACCUUGACUUGCUGACUUGAUGAAGAUGACGGAGCUUGUGUGGGUGUCGGGUCGACGCUCAUCUCUGAUGGCUGUGAGGAGUGUCGGGCUGAACUCCUUGUACCAAUGUUCUUGAGAGCCUUCCCUACAUUCUUCACCUUCUUAAACAUCCUGCAAACAAAAGUUGGCAAAAACACAACUAGUGGAAAAUGUGAGAGAAAAUGUUAGUGGUUAGCUGUCCGGAAUGUCAAUAGUCCAGGGGUUAUUUGUUCAAGACAAGUUUCUAUUUUGGUAGAGCCUCCCCCUAAACAACUUUUACUUCCGCUUAGACAACGGGAUCACUACUUGCUAGGUGAUAAACACUCUCUCAAAAGAACUCCAAACCUUCUCUUCCACUCUUCUCUUUCUCUCUACUCUCUUCUCUUUACUACAAGAGCUCCUUCUCGGGAAACUAAAACUUGUGUGGUUUUCUGGAGUGUUUGUGUGAAGAAGAUGGAGGUAGAAUGUGGCUAUUUAUAGGAGGAAGAGGGGAUAGGGCGGGCGCCCUGAGUAGGUGGGCGGGCGCCCACCCCUAGUGUCCAUCCUGGGUGUGCCUCCUCCACUUGCUUCCUUGCUUUGAUCUCACGCGGAAUAAUAUUGUGUUGGUGGUGGUUGGACGGUGGAAAGAUGUCAGGUGAGUGGAAACAUAUUGGUGGAUGAAAUUAUGUGAUGGGAUGUAUGUGAGGUGAAGUGUAUGACAUGUGGGACCCAAAGAGUGUGGGUCAUGCUUCUAGAAGGUUACUAUAAUUAAUUAUAAUGCAGGAAAAAUCUAUGACAAUUGAAACUUAAUUAAAAUGAUAAUGGAAAAUAUUUUUGUGCCUCCACAAUAAUUAAUAAAUAUGGGUUGUUACACACCAUGAAUAUUAUUUAUAUGGGGCUUUUUGAUUAUUAUAAUUAUGCUAUGAAUAUAUGUGACUAAUGCAAGAAUUAAUUAUGCAAGAAUGAGAAAAUUAAUAAUGCGGAUAAAUACCGAUUUACCUCCCGGUGUGGGUUUGGGAUUUUUAGGUCCCCCAAGCUGGACCUCCAAAUCUUUUAAUCUUCUGAGUUACCUUCCUCCGAAGAUGGUGUCUCCAGUGGUUCUUCAUGAACUUCCUUCACUGUAGGGUCUCUCUCUGGUCUGGGUUUGAAUGUGAAGUGUUCUUCUUGUCCGUUUAUGUUGAACUUGAUUUCUCCCUUCCCAACAUCGAUGUGGGCAUUGGCAGUGCUCAGAAAUGGCCUUCCAAGGAUGAUGGAUACUUUUGAGUCAGGACUCAUGUCCAGUACUACGAAGUCUAAUGGCACUAGGAAAUCUCUAUUCUUGACUGGAAUGUUUUCGGUGAUGCCCAACGGGUGUCGAACCGAUUGAUCCGCUAGUUGUAGGCACAGUGAUGUUGGUUCUAGGGUCGCAUGCUCAAGCUUUUUGUAGACUGAUGCUGGCAUCACACUGACACUUGCUCCGAGAUCACAAAGUGCAUUGUUGAAGUGUUGGUUUCCGAUCGAGCAGUCAAUAGUGGGACAUCCGGGAUCUUCCUUCUUCUUUGGCGGCUUGUUGAGGAUGGCCGCACUACAUUCUUCUGUCAGCUUGAUAACCUCAGUGGUGGGCAGUGGUCUCUUCUUGUUAAGAAUAUCUCUGAUGUACUUUGCAUAUGUAGGUACCUGUAUGGCAUCGAGCAGAGGUAUGUUGACAUAUAAUUUCUGAAUGACCUCUACAAACUUACCAAACUGCUCAUCCGACUGCAGCCCUCUGUUUCUUCUGGGAAAUGGCAAAUAGUUGGUGUCGUAAAAAUCUUUCCUCAUUUCUCCAGUUCUAGGUGGUUGUAGCAGAUCUUCUGCUUCAACUGGGCUUUCUUCUUCUAUCACUGCUGGUUGCACUGGUGCUGAUGUUCUUUGUUUCUCUUCUGGGUAUGGGGAUCUCUGGUAGCUUUGCCUCCUCUAGUAGUUAUAUUCUUUACCUGCUCAAUGUUAGUAGCAACAGGCAGUACAGCAGCUAACUUUAUUAACUUAAGCUCUACCCUUUUAUUAAGAGUGUUUUGCUCAUCAAAGGCAGUUAGUAGAAAAUCCAUUUUAUUGUUUAUAUCUUUUAGAGAUGAUUCAUUUGUAUCUAGCCUUUGUUUAACUUCAUCAUUAAUUUUGGUUUGUUGAGCAAUUAUCUCUUUUAAUGAAAGUUGCUUGAAAGUAUUACAUGAAUUCAUACCUUUGCUAUUGGGUUGACUCGAAGUUGGUUGAUAUUUGUAUGCUGUCUCAAUAGCCCUUUUAUCUUCUUUGAACUUGGCCCUCUGGUCAAUCCAAUGGAGCAAAUUUUCCAUCUUAGUUGAUAAUGCAUUUACUUCUUCUGGUAUUUCUUCAGUUUGAUGACAUUGUUGAGCUUUAUCUUGGAACCAGCUUUGAUUUUCUGCUAUCUUAUCCAAAAGUAUCUCUGUUUUUCCAGUUGUAAGCUCCAAGAAUGAUCCUUUAGCAGAUGCAUCUAGGCACUGACGAGCCUUCUGGGUUAAUCCAUGGUAGAAGGUCUGCAUAAGUAACCAUGUGGCCAUUCCAUGGUGGGGACAAUCUGAUAUGUAUCCUUGAAAACGCUCCCAUGCUUCUAAAAUGGCUUCUAUCUUCUGCUGCUGGAAACUGACAAUAUUUCCUCUUAAGGCAGUUGUUUUGCCUAUAGGGAAAAACUUUGAUAGAAAGGCAUCUGACAAGUUCGUCCAGUUGUUGAUGUUAUCUUGAUGACUGCAGAACCACUUCCUCGCUUUCCCUUCUAGUGAGAAUGGAAAAAGGCGAAGUAGUAUGACGUCUUUGUCAACUCCAUUGAUGUGUAUUGUGCUCCCAAUCUCUAAGAAAUUCUGCAAGUGUGCACUGGCAUCUUCAUGUGCCUUUCCACUGAAUUGUGUAGCUUGCACCAAAUUGAUGAGGCUUGACUUGAGCUCAAACUCGGGUAUUCCUUCUUCUACUGCAAAUCUUGGACCUGUUGGAAUGUUCUCAAGGCUUGGAGCAGAGAAUUCUUGCAAGGUCUUUUGUGCCAUAGCUUCAGCAAUUGGUAGCUAGCUUCUUCUUCUCUUGAUUGCUUUGGUUCUGAUGAUGAAGAGUUGAAUGUACACAAAGUCAAUCCUGAUAUACCCUGUAUAAAAUAUAAACAUAGAAAAACAACAGGGUGAACCUGCCAAAGCAGAGGUGCCUUGUUAUGAUUUCUCACUUAGUAGCUGUUUUUAUGCAAUUAUUUCUCUAUAGUCUACUCUAAUAUUUUAUAUGAAUAACCUUGACUGAUUUCCUGACUUUCCUUACCGUUCCUAUAUAUUACCCUUUUGCCUCCCCGGCAACGGCGCCAGAAAUGCUUGUUGACACUAGCUAACACCACUUAGAUACUAGGUUGUCAUCCCCAGCAUGGUGCCAGAGUGUACAAAGGUAUUUAUAAAUGUAAAGGCUCUCUAGAAAAUAAUCUAUUCUAUCCGCAAGCGCACAGAUAAAACACCUCAUUGUAGCAUUUCACCAGGAUAAGUAUUCCAGGUAUCGUUAUUUAUAAUUUUGCUCAAGGGAUGAAAUUAAAGUAAGGGGCAAAAUCUAUCAAGGCAUAGACUAGAGAUAAACUUGCAAGAACAUGAUUACUAAUGAGAAACUCGUCACACAGUCACUUACUUUAGCAGGGGGUAAACCAUAAAGAUAAUGAUAACGAAUUAUAAGUUCAUGGGUAGAUAACACAGCGAUUAGAAAAUAGACUACUCCUCAUAUAUGUAGGUGAUAUCGGAUUAGCUAGAGAAUGGAUUCUAAGUUAUCUACUAACUACUAAGUCAUAAUCUACUCUAGUUAUCUAUAAGAUCAUAUAUAGCAUAAAAGACACUUCAUUCAUGUAUAAGGAACAUUGAUAAAGUAAAUCAGAGCAUCGCAUGACUUACUCCACAAUACCGGUUCUGCCUGUCCUAUCAACGGAGGGUGGACUAUAUAAGAAUCAACGAAGCUGUCACUAUCGCGAACUACCACACAACCCGGCCAAUAGGAUACAUUUGCAGAUAAAUAACAUCUAAGCACCACGCUCACAUGUGAUCUAUCACCUAACUCCCUCGCGUCAAGAGCUAAGCGCUUUGCAAACUUAUACAUAAACUCAUUAUCAAUUAGAACUAUAUCAAAUAUCGAACUAGAGCAAACUAAGAACAUAAUAAUUAGAGACAUAAUGCAAUUAGAACAAAGAAUUAGAGAAAGAUAUGAAUAAUACCAAUCUUUAUUACCGAAGAUCCAAAUCCAGAGCGUAGUGCUCUACUUCUCUAAUUGCUAUCUAAUCAAACCUCUAAACUUGAAGGAUUAGGGAGUAGCUAAUUCUAAUUCUCUGUGGGUGAGAAGCUCUAAACCCUAACUUUGAUGGCUACCUCUGCAUAAUGAUUUCUUCUCUUCUCCUCUCUCCUCCAGGGGCCAGGGGGUCUGGUUUUAUAGUCCCCUCAAGUGAACGUGAGCCAUUGGAUCAACCCGACAUAGAUUGUAUGGUUUAGAUUGAUCCUUUAGGUCGGUGGAGUUUAGCCCCGAAGCAGAGUCCUGAUUGGACUCCUGGCCUGGGCGGGCGCCCAAGGGUUGUGGGCGGGCGUCCUGCCCCCGAGCCCGAUUCCCUUCUCGUUCGUUUCCGUGGCUUCUGGACUCUUCUAGAUUGAGGAAAAUUACGCGGCAUGUAAUUAUCUCGUUGUAAAUAUGACAUGUGGGCCUUCUCUCCAUAUUCUCUGAUAACACCCUGCAGAAAUAGAUAAACACCAAAGCUCGUGGAAUUCUGUCAGAUAAAACCCUAAUUCUAGAUGUUUGUUUCAUAUUGAUCCUUUUCCAUGUUUAUUUGAUUAUUAAUUUUAGUACUUAAGGACCGUCAACACAUAUUUUGGAAUGUUGUCUGUUUCUAGUUAAUAGCGGUAGGUCAUCAUACAUUCUACAGAAAAAGUUGUGUUUCAAUGAUUCGGUCCUCCAGGCCAUAUACUUGGAGGUCUCAUGGCCCAAACUUGGUGGCUCCAUUUUUUUAUUUGUGCCGAAAUAGAUAUUGGGUGCGCACGUCAGCAGCUUCGCUUUUUUUUGUGACUGUCAGCAACUUCGUUGGGCCAUGGCAGUUGGGCCUGGUUUGCUGCCACUAUACUCUAUAUAUAUGUUGUCCUAAAGCCUGCUCAUCCUAAUUUCGAACUAACACCUACACUAGUUGUUUGAUUCUUCGCUAGAAUUUGAUUCGUUGGAUGGAUUCACUGGAUGCCAAGGUCCGAAUCCUGUUUGCAGCAAGUUUUUUUUUGGUAUAAUGAUGACGGGUGUGGGAAAGAAAUAGAAAAAGAACUGGGCCGCUUGGUUGGACAAAAAAUGACUUACCGCAAGAACAACGUAGGAAAAAAAGAACUGGACCGCCUACAACGGACGCUUGGGCUGGCGUCCAACGAGAAAAAAGAACUUUGCCGAACAAGGGCCUUUUAUUGUUAUUAUAGUGAACAAAUUAUAAAAUGUAAGAUAUAUUUUACAUAUUCAACCAUGGUCGCAUGGCACAAUGGAAAUGCUUUUUGGUUUAGUCUUUGGUCACCAUGUUUGGAUGGCUUAGUGGCAAUGGUUUGUUUUGCUCCUAAUGAUCGUGAUUGAAGUACCCUUUGGUGCAAUUUAUUUCCUUUUUACCUUUCUUUUUUUAGAUACAUGUACUUACGAGAGGACCACUGUUUUUGCAAUUACAUUUUUGAAUUUCUUUCGCACCAAAUAUAUGAUGGGUCUUUUGUUUUAUUAGAGGGAUGGGUUUUUUAUUUUGGGCUAACCAGGGGCGGAUCUAGAAUUGGGACAGAGCGGGGGCUAAAUAGUAAAGCUUUAGAACUAAAACCUAGAGAUUAAUGGUAAUUUGAAGCUAAGUACUAUUGAUUCAAAGACAUAAAUCAGGCUUAGGGGGGCUGCAGCCCGGGCAGCCCACCCCGUGGAUCCGCCCCCUGGGGCUAACUAGAGUAUGACGAAUUUAAAAUUAUACACUGUGAUGAUUUAGAUAAAACCGUCACGAGUUAGCGGGCCGGGAAUAUCCAUUUGUGCACAUCCUUGACGGAAAAAAAUUAUUGUCAUGGAUUGUGUCUGUUAGUGACGGUUUGUAAAUCCGUCGCUGUGAAGCCGUCACAGAUUAACAGGUUUCUUGUAGUGUGUACUAUGGUAUUUAUACGCUCACAGAUAAAUCCGCAAGCGCACGGAUACCGUUGUAGCUUUUACCCGGUUAAAGGUUUUAUCGUAUCCACAGGAAAACAGGAGAACCAACUACGCUCUAACUUAACCAAGAUAGAUGGAUAGGUGUAAAUAGGAAAGAUGGUAGAGUUGAAUAAGAACAAUAUUAAAGGUAAAAUGAUAAUGGGGGAAUCUAGAGUAGAGCAAUCUAAUAUAUGGGUGAUAAUAGGAGAAUAGAGAGGAUAACUAGGGUUUCUCUACUUCAAAGGGUAUGUCUGUCUGUGGUGUACCAUAAGUAUAAAACAACACAGAGGAUGCUUAUACCUAAGGUUGAGGACUCCUACCAGUCCUCCUAACAGGAGGUGGACUACAGAGGACUACGUAGCUGUCACCUACGCGGCGCACCACAUGAUCCGGCUAACAAGGGAUAUCCACAAGUAAUCUAGGUCUAAGCACCACGCUUACACCUAUACUACAACUCUCACCUAUAGCGUCCUAUAGAUUAAAGUACUCAAAAGAGUUGUGAACCAGAACAUACAUGGAUAGUAAUUGCAUAAUGAAGUAGAAGUAGAUUACCAGAGUUAUCCCAUCAGCAAGCUUGAUUAGAGCUUGAUCAUGGCGAAGUACAACCGGAGGAAGAACCGACAGGCCGGCCUCUCCUCCAAUCCUCCCACACUCUCCAUCUCGCUACUAUCUAGAUCUACUCUAGUUUAGAGAUGAGAGGAGAGCUCUCAUCUCCAAACUCUAGCUUUUGCUCUGUCUAUGAAUAAUGAAUAAGGAUGCAGAGGUGUCUUCUCCAGGGGCUAGGGGCCUGCUUAUAUAGCCCUUCCAAAUGAACAUGGGCCGUCGGAUCAAACCGACCUUAAUCGCACGGUUUUUCUUAAUCCUUUAGGUUGGUGGAGCAUAAUCCGCGAGGCGGUGCCUGAUUGGCUGCCAGAGCAGGGCGGGCACCCUAAAGGGUAGGGCGGGCGCCCUGCCCCUGGGUCCGCUCGGCCUCCCAUUCGUUCCCGUGGCUUCUGGAGUCUUCUAGAUGAUAGAAAAUUGCCGCACACGUUAAUAUCUCUAUGUAAACCCGACGUGUGGGCCUUUCCUCCAUGUUUCUUGAUAACCCCCUAUAGAAAUAGACAAACACCAAAACUCGUGGAAUUCUGUCAGAUAAAACUCUAAGUCUGGGUGUUGGUUGCAUGUGGAUCCUUUUCUUUGUUUAUUUGAUAAUUAAAUUGGGUACUUAAGGACCGCCAACACCAACUUACCUAGGAAUCUUCAUCUUCAUCACUUGAAGUACACCUUUCUAACAUACAGUUGACCCCUGUAUGAAUGAAGUAACUUCUUGGGUGAUGAGAUUGAAGUAUUCCAGGCUACACUUGCUCUUAUAAGCAUGAGCUCCUCCAUGAGGACCACUUAUCCUCAACGAUCAACCAUAAGCAAACAUCUAGCUUGGGGGAGAGCAUCCCCUAGCUAUCAACAUGGUUAGAAGCAUGGGAGAAAGAGAAUAAAGUUGAAGAGCUGGAGCCAAAAAAAGAAAGAAGCAAAGGAGACAGAAACAAGAUGGAAGAAGGCACGUGCGACAUCACCAUGAAAUGGGGAGUUGACUGAGGUUACCUCAGACGAUGAACCCAAUGAGUAAGUGUUCUCCUCUAUCUAAGUCCUGUCGGUAGACUUUAAAUUAUGUACCCUAGCCAUAAGGUGAGAAUGGUAGUUAUCUCUUUAAAUGCAUUCGUAAUUUAUUUAGUAGCAUAAUUUUGUUUACACACUAAAAGAUAUAAAAACAACAAAAAUAUUUACUACAUUACUCAUGGCAUCACAAAGCUCCAUGAGGAUACUCUAUGGUAUUUUCUGAAGGAACAUCCGCUGUGGUGGCACAAAAUAAAAAUGACAAAAAUAUCGCAUUCAUAUUUAAAUUCCUGCAUCAUAAACAGAAAAUUCAAAAAAAAGAAGAGAAAAGUGAAAUCCUAUUUAAAUUAGACAACAAUAAAACUAGCUCAUAAAGGAAAUCAGUUACUUUUUGGCUGACCGCCAACCCAUUAACAAAUUCGAGCCUCGAGUUUUGGUUUCUCUUUGAGGAGAGUAUUUAUGCGGGAGUAACAUCAUAGCAAGGAGAGAGUCUAUCAGUGGCAUCCACCAGGUCCGCUACUGGUUAGCUCACUCUAAAGGACAUCUAUACCAAGUAUUGCAACCAUCGAGCUUGGGGGAGGAGCAUCCCCUAGUUAUCAGGUGACUACACCUAGGCAAUUAUUAAAUUCACUUGUUAUAUAUAUUCAUAAAAUACCAAAAAUAUGUGGGCACAUGAAGGUCCACGUCUGUUGAGUCUUUUAUGAGUCUGUGGUUAAAUAAAAUCUAAAAACCAAUAAAAAGAAGUCUUAGUUAGUAUUAAUUAUAUUAGAGUGUGUCUAGGCUAGAGCUAAUUAAAGAUUGAUAAACAUUAAAAUUUUGUCUUGGAGAUGAUGAAUAGUUGCUCUGUUAUAGAUCUUUACAAAUACCUAGAUUCCAACGGUAGAUUCUCUCGAGUUUUGGACAUGACUGUUUUAAUUUGAAGAUUUACUCUGAACCUGCAACUUGUGGAGGCAUAAGUUUGAGCUAAGUCAGGUAGUUGGUUGAUAAGAUCAUUAAAAGUAUGAGCUACUAUUUAUCUUAUUCCUAGCAUUACUAAGUUCUGGAGAUUUAUUUUGAAAACCCAAAAUCCUACAUGAUGAGCUCUUGUAUGACAAAGUAUGAAUAAUAUACAUUUAGAGUCAGGAAAACUUUUGCACAUUUAUGCUGCUUGCUUUGCAUUGAGUUUAGUCAACCCAUGUAGUAUACCUUACGAGAGUCUUGUCAUGCUUUUAAAACCAAGAUCACGUACACACUCCAGUUCACAUAUGCAUAAUUCCCAUACUAGGAGUAAUCGCAAUCAUUUCCAUUCCAUGUUUACCAAUCAUGCUUUUCCCCUACACUGGGAGUAAACACCAACAUAAACCAUACCCAUAGGAUAAAGCCCAUCAUAAAUGCUCUAAGUUCUUUUUAUUACCUCUCUAAUCAUUUAUUGUAUUCAAAGGAUACAUGUGGCUAUGCAAAAAUAUAAAGAAGAAAAGGGAGUAAAAGAUGGAUAAGUCUCCCUGUAAUUAAAACAAUGGGUACUAGAUGCCCACCUCCCUACAAAAAAUAUAUAAAAUAAUGAUAAAGAUAGCCCAUGUCUUUCCCGCAAAAAGUUCCAAUAUCAAAAGAGAGAUUUAUCGUCAAGGAGCAAAAGUAGAAAUAGAAAUUAGCCACAAAUACCACAAAUGCACCAAUCCACCAUAUUCCAUACACAUGCACACCUUGGUUUGAUUGUAUGUCUCGAUUCUCUAUGGAUCCAUUAGUUGACUUUACAAUACAUGCAUUGCAAGUAUGCCUAACCCUGUUAUUGGCACUCCUAUAAGAUCUAUCAUAUAUACCUUUAGCUAUAGGAGGCAUAACAUCAUUAAUGCCUCAAGAGAGAACCAUAAAUACCACGUACAUUGAGAGACUUGAGGGUGUCAUACAAUUAAGCUCUGAGUUUUAUUCUGAAAACUUAUAAAAACUCCAGAAUGUUCUGCAACGAAUUUGAGAUAGUGCUUGACCUGAUUGUUCUGUCUUCCGAUUGCUCAAGACUCAUGCAAAAGCUGUAAAGCCCCAUGGUUAAAGGUAAAAUGGGUAAGUUUGAAGAUUAGAGCAGUUAUUCACUAAUCUAGAGGAGAAUCUUUGUUUGGGAGCAUGUGUACUUGGAAAGAAUAAAAACAUUGUAGCAACUCUUGAUCCAAAUACAUAUUCUGCUUAGGCUUGGUUUGCCAAGAGACUGGCAAAAGGUAAGCUUAGGGGAAUUUUUGGGGAUAGUCUUGUAGUCUUCUGCAGUUGGCACCUUGAUAUUGAUAGGAGUUAUGACCUUAGGCGCUGGCACCUCUGAAUUUGAUAGCUCAGAAAUCUCAUGCUCUUGUAUUGUGCGUUUCGAAGCAAUGCCUGACAAAAAUCUCACUUGCCCAGCUGAUUUUUUCUUUCGCUCGAAUGGUGAAAUCAACUUAGGUAUCAGAAAUACUUUCUUUUUUGGCACCUUUGGUGGCUCACUUAUUGGUUCUGGAUCUUUGAGUUGUGGGGAAGGGGUGGAAUUGAAUGGUGGUGGAGAUUGUGUUGACUGUGGGGUAGAAAGAUCAUGGAGAGGAGAUGGUUGAUGGACAGGGAAAACAUGGAGAGGUGAUUCUGGUGGGUCAGGAAGAGACUGGGGAGGUGAAGGCGGUGGGUUAGGAAUAGGAUCGACAUGAGCUGACGACUCCUGGGUUAGUGGCAUCACUUGAGAGGGUGGUGGUGGCUCCCUUAGUUGCACGUCCCUCCGAGGCCAAAGGAUGAAAUUAUUUAUCACCUGUCCCAGUUUCACAAUGUUCUCGGGACCAGGGAUGUCUAGAAUCUCGUCCUCAUAUCCUUGGACCACGGUUGAUACCUCUACUCUACAGUAGUCUUUAGGGAUGUCACCACCAUGGUAUUUAGGUCCUCCUAGGAUCGCUUUGCCCGUGGCUACUUCCCUUGUACGAUGAUUGUUAAUCCCAUAUCUUAUGACAAGGGAGCAAGGUGUAGAAGUAACAAUGUCGUCAACUGGAUAGUGAUCCUUGUUUGCCGUAGAUGCGACACUGCUUGGAAUGAUUGUUUCACUUGAUGCCACCAACGGUUGCGACACCACUCGGACUAGCUGCAUUUGGGGAGCUUGAGUGCUCAUUUGGGUAACUGCAUUUGACAUGGCACUCGCUAGUUUCUGCAUCAACUCAGGAGGAGGAUUUUCUAGCAACUUCCCCAUCAUCUCUUGGAAGUCUUUCUUAGCCUCUUCCUGAUAAUAAUUUGCCAUUUUGUUCCUUGUACCGAUCACGUUUCUUAUACUCAUUUGCCCAUUGAGGGCUGAAUUCAUCCUUCCAUCCUUCUUUGGAUGAGAUGCCUCGAACACGACCAGGAUGCUCAGGGUUACCGAGGCCAACACUAAGGAUGUUCCUCUCCCUUCGUGGCGUAAACUUGCCUUCCUACUGCAUGCCUGCCACUCCAAAGAUGCUGUUCAUUGCUUCAUCAAGCAUUGGGUCCUCAAAGGACACACCCGUCUCGGUUUCCUUCGGUUUCCGAGGACGGAUCCAAUUCGCGGACCUUUCACCGACUUGCUCGGACAGCACUGGCAACCCUACUGCCUUCUUCGCAACCUCUUCUUGCCUCCAUUUAGGAACUUGGUGCCGGUAACCACCUGUGCCUAGAUGGUGGUGGUACUUGUUCCUCUUUGCGAGCUAGGAGUUGGCUUCGCUCCGAGCUAAGAAGUUAGGGUCAUUCCUCUGCUCUAGAAAAACAUACCACUGCCCUUUAGUAAUAUUGUAUUUGGAUGUCGGAUCCAUCCCUGUCUUUGCAUAGUUGACAUUCAUCUCCGACCUCCAAUUUCGGAAACUAACCGCACAUUGUUUCAUUGUAUAUGCCUUCACUAAAUCUUCUGGCACAUUCCUAGGAAACUGGAACCUUGUCUUAAUCUUAUCCCAAAUUUUGAUCUUGUGAUUAUUCGACACACCGGCCCAGUUCUUAACUGUGAUAUCAAGAAAGUCCCUCACACAGAAACCAAUUGCGUUCCUGUAUUUGGGUAGGGCCUCCUCUGGAGCUAGGGGCUGUCCGAUAGAGCUCACAUCUGUGAUGGCAUAUGUGUCAUCUGGAAAUUGGUUCAACCCUCUCUCGCCUCAUUUCAAACCUAGCCGCUUCCUUUUCCUAGACUGACAUGGCCUCUCAGGGCUCGUCGUUGUGGUCGUCGGUUCUGGUGUGUCUUCGUGUGCCACCUCCUCCUGAGACAUCAUCUCUCUAAACUGAGACAUUGCCUCCUGAGUAUAGACAUGUGAAUCAUGGGCAUGUUUUUAUGUAGAAACUAUGAAUAGAAAUCAUUUAGUUACAUGAAAUCGUGAAUGUCUCUAAUUUACCUCAUCGGCUUCUAGAUUGUAAUCGGGGUCACGUGCCAAUUCACGACGAGUCUUCCUCACUUCUAGAGACUCCAUGUCAUCGCUAGCUUCUUGUUCAUAGGACGAACCUGAUGCUUCGCCCGUUUCUACUUGUUUCGUGACCUCACGAGCUUGUUCCAUAGGGUCGGAUGACCCUUCUACUUGCUCCGUGGGUUGGGACUGCAGUGCUUCGUCCUUGUGCAGAGAACUCAUCGCAGAAAUCUAUGUAAUUUAUGCAUAAAAUUAAAUUUAUGUAUAAAAUUAAAUUUAUGUAUCUUGGGGUAUAUACACUAAUAUAUCAUACACUAACAUAUACACUAAUACAUACACAAAGAGAUUAAAUUUAUAUACACUAAUACACUAACAUAUUAUGAAGCAUAAAAUUAAAUUUAUGUAUCGUGGGGUAUGUACACUAAUAUAUCAUACACUAACAUAUACACUACUACAUAUAUAAACAGAUAAAAUUUACAUACACUAAUAUAUAUACUAAUAUAUCAUACACUAAUAUAUACAUAAUAUAUCAUACACUAAUAUAUUAAAUGAUUUACAUAUACACUACAUAUAUAAACAUAUUAAAUUUACAUACACUAUAUAUACACUAAUAUAUCAUACGCUAACAUAUACACUAAUAUAUCAUACACUAAUAUAUUAAAUGAUUUACAAAGAGAUUAUAACAAAAAGAUAAAAUUAAAUUUAGAUAUACACACUAAUGCAUAUGCAACGGGAAAUAAUAACAAGUAUUUAUAAAAUAAUAACUAUGAAUAAAAUCACAUGUAAAAGACAUAAUAAUAUUCCUUGAUUUUAUUUUUAUUUUUUCUGAUUUUUAUAAUUUUCUACUGUUUUUUACGGUUUAAUUUAAAUUUUUCAUAAAAAAUUGUUAAAGUAAAAAAAUCCCAGCCCAACAGGCCCAGCAGGCCGUCACUCCAUCUCCCUUCUCUCCCUCUCUCUGGCAGGUGGGCCCCACAUGUCGGGGUCAUCCCCUACCUCCAGCCGCCGCCGCCACCGCACCGCCCCUUCCACCACCGUACACCCCGCACCAGCCCCAUCCUCUUCCAGCAUCGCCACCGUGGCCAUCCCUUCCCCUUCCACCACCACCACCGCGGCCGCCCCCCUUCCCCGUUCGGGCAGCGCCACCAUCGCGCCCCCACCACCACCGCCGCCACAUCGAGGAUGCGCAGGGAGAGAGAGAGAGAGAGAGCGCGUGAGCAGGAGAGGCUCUCACCGAGGGGCGGCGUCGGCGUCGAGGGCGGAGGAGACGGUCACCGUGCGACGGUGUCGAGGACGACAACAACGGUGGCGAUGGCAGCGAUGGCGGUGGAAAAUUUCGGCAGCGUGUCGGCUUAGUUUGAAUGAACAGGGCGCCAGACUUAGAAAAUUUUCAGGCGGAGAAGACCUAGGGUUAUAUAGGCGGGCAUUAGUACAUGCGGUUGGAUUAGUCAACCGCAUGUAGAAAUAGUUUCUACAGGCGGUUGACUAAGCCAACCGCCUGUACUAAUGCAUUUGUACAGGCGGUUGGCUUAGNNNNNNNNNNNNNNNNNNNNNNNNNNNNNNNNNNNNNNNNNNNNNNNNNNNNNNNNNNNNNNNNNNNNNNNNNNNNNNNNNNNNNNNNNNNNNNNNNNNNAAUUUGAAAUUAAAAUUUUUAAUAGUAUUCCCAAGAAUAUAUUUGUUUUUAAAACAAUGAUAAGAGCCACAUAAUCCAAUUAAAUUAUUUUAAAUAAAGCUGCAUACAAAAGUACCUCAAACAUGAAAUUUCAUAUUUUUAACAUGUGUAUCUGGUCAAGAGGAACACAACAAAAAAAAUUUCACUAAUUUAGGACAAAUAUUUUUGAAGAUAUGAUUUUUUGAAUCAUUUAAAAAAUUUCUAAAAAUAUAUAUAAGGAAAACUUUAAAUAAACUGAAAAUCCAUUUGUACAGGUGGUUGGCUUAGCCAACUGCCAGUACUGUACUGGCGGUUGGCUAAGCCAACCGCCUGUACUAAUGCAUUUGUACAGGCGGUUGGCUUAGCCAACCGCCAGUACAGUACUGGCAGUUGGCUAAGCCAACCACCUGUACAAAUGGAUUUUCAGUUUAUUUAAAGUUUUCCUUAUAUAUAUUUUUAGAAAUUUUUUAAAUGAUUCAAAAAAUCAUAUCUUCAAAAAUAUUUGUCCUAAAUUAGUGAAAUUUUUUUUGUUGUGUUCCUCUUGACCAGAUACACAUGUUAAAAAUAUGAAAUUUCAUGUUUGAGGUACUUUUGUAUGCAGCUUUAUUUAAAAUAAUUUAAAUGGAAUAUGUGCCUCAUAUCUUGUUUAAUACAUAAAUAAUUCUAGGAAUACCAGAAAAAUGUAAAUCCAAUUUUGUUAGCUUUAUUGUAGUGUGUAAAUGCUAUAAAAAAUAUAUUCCUUUGUGCAAUUUAUUGUUGAUAAUAUAAAUGUGAGGAACCCAUAUGUUUGAGCAUAGUUCGGUGGAAUGACUCUUAUACGUUUGUGAAGAAUGUGUGUUAUGCCUAUCUCCAAAUGUCUUGAAAUUUUUUUGGCAAGCUUCUACACUCAAAUGAUAACCCCACACAAGAUCUUAGGAUUUUCUAGUCAUGCAAGCUAUUAUUACAUUUUUCUUUGUGCUAAAUGAGAUGAAAAAUGGUGGACUACACCUAGAUCCCACUAGGUUUUUCCACCAACCACAAGGAAAUUUUAUUUCCUAUGGUAUAUAAGCCCCUGUGGAGAAGUUUGGCACCAUUUGGAGUCAUUUCAGGGGUAGACUUAGUUCAAGCGCUAAUUAGUGGGUGAUGUCGCACGGAAAUUCAAUUAAACCGGAUAAACCACAUCAGAAAAAUCCCAAACUUGGUGGAUUGAACAUCAAUGACACUAGUAACCCUUAGUAAAAGUUUGAGACUAAUACGACAUCAAUGGCACUAGUAACCCUUACAUGUAGAAAUAGAAAAGGGCACAUAGCAUAAGGUACACAUUUUAUCAUAAAUAGAUUACAUGGCAAAUGACAAAUAAAAUCUAGGCAGCUACUGUUCUUCCUUGUCCAUCGUGACGCACCUAGGGCAACGAGCUCUGUGGAAUGCUCCGCUCAACAUUCCUUAUCUUUACUGGAUGGUCGUCUACAAAGAGAGACAUGUCACUGAACUGGUUAAAUUCAUCCAAGUCAGAUACACCAUCAACUCCGAUGGCUUGUUGCUUUCCUGGGAAAACUAUGUGCUUUGGAUGGUCCGUAAUUUUCUUCUUAUCAUUAGGAGAGAGGACAUGCUCAGCAUAGAAGACCUAUGCAGCACGGUUAGCCAUUAUCCAUGGAUCAUCUUUAUAGCCUACCUUGCUUAGAUCUAGAACUCUAAUCCCAUAGUUGUCCACUGUGACAUGUUUGUCUUCAACCCAUUGACACCGAAAUACAGGGAUCUGAAAUGUACCAUAGUCUAGUUCCCAUAUGUCCUCAACGAAGCCAAAGUAAGUUGUUUCCUCACCAGUUUCAGAGUCUAAGGCAUCGCAUCGAACACCACUAUUUUGUGCCAUGCUCUUUUGGUCUUUGGACUUGGUACAAAACGUGAAGCCACUAAUGUCAUAGGUUUGCCAAGUUGUGACCUGGCGUGAUGGCCCAGAUGUCAAGACCUUGAUGGUGCGAUCCUUGAGUGUUUCCCCAUCUGGAAUGUCCUGCUCCCUUAGCCAUGAGGUGAACUGAUUCUUAUGUUCCUUCAUUAUCCAUUCAUCUGUGUGCCCAUGAUUAUGUUUUUGAAGCUCUUCAAUGUGUAGAUUGAUCAAAGGCUCCAUUAUCGAGAGCUGAUGCAGGACGCUGUGAUGUGCUUCGAGGACUGAAUUGUAAUCUUUUGGGACGUAUGAUUUCUUUCCCAUCCUACCUCUUCCAUUCAGCCUACACUCGUGUCGUGAUGGAGGCAAACCUAUUGCAACCUGGUCUUUUAGGACCCUAUUGCAGAAUGGACCUCCGGACUCAAUGGCCUCUUCGGUUAAGUACCCCUCUACCAUAGACGCCUCUGGACGAGCACGAGUUGAUACAUAGCCAUUUAGUAUUGACAUGAAGCGUUCAUACGUCCACAUCUCAUGCAAAUACAUGGGACCCAAUGCCUCUAUUUGUGAAACCAAGUGCACCACAAGGUGAACCAUCACAUCGAAGAAUGCUGGGGGGAAACACAUCUCAAACUGUGAAACUGUCUCCACUGUGAAUUCCUUAAGAGACGCCAACUCAUCACGUUCAAUCACCUUCUGUGAGAUCCUGUUGAAGAAGUAGCACAACCGUGUAUCUACAACCUUUAUCCACACUGGGUUUAUAGCCCUAAUGGCAAUAGGGAGAAAAGUAGUCAAUUUGACAUGACAAUCAUGUGAGUUGUAGUUGGUGAGUGUAAGGUCUUUCAUUGACACAAUACUCCGUAUGCUAGAGCAUAAUCUUGAUGGGACUUCCAAUUUCUUCAACCACACACACAUCUCAUGUUUCUCUUCAAUGUUGAGGUUGUAGCUUGCUGCCGGGAGGUGGUACUUCCCAUUUUCUAGCGUAACAGGGUGAAGUUCUUUUUUUAUGCCUAACUGUACCAUGUCCAAGCGUGAAUUUAAUCCUUCCUUUGUCUUGCCCUUCAUGUCCAACAAGGUGCCAAUUACGCUUUCAAACACGUUCUUCUGAACGUGCAUACCAUCGAUCGCGUGGCGGACGUCUAAUUCUGGCCAGUAUUCCAAAUACUCGAAGAAAAUUGACUUCUUCUUGAAUGUAGCCCCUAGAGCUGGCUUGACAUUCUUUCUCGGUUUUCCAUCUUUUGUCUUCUUCCCAAAAACAAAUUUGAGUUUGCUGACUAUGCUGAAAACUCUUUGGCCUUUACUGUUACCUGAUGGAGCAGUAGUCUGUAGUUCACUAUUAUUGUCAAAGUACUUAUCCAUUUUUUUCAGCCGGUACUUGUGUCCUUUUGAUAAGAAGCGUCUGUGCCUCAUGUACACUAUCUUCUUAGAUGUAGUUAGGUUCACGUAAGCGGUGUCAUCUAUGCAUACCACACAACCUAACUUUCCCUUGAACUGUCCUGAUAAUGUAAAGAGAGCUGGGUAGUCAUUGAUCGUAACAAAGAUAAUUGCUCUCAGUGUGAAUGAUUCUUUGUGGUACUCGUCGAAUAUUUGAACACCUGUUUCCCAUAGUAUCUUCAUGUCCUGCAUUAAGGGCUCCAAGAAAACAUCCAUAUCAACUCCAGGUUGUGUAGGUCCAGAGAUAAGGAUGGUUAGUAAAAGGUACUUUCGCUUCUGCAUCAACCAUGGAGGGAGGUUGUAGAUGGUGAGGAUCACUGGCCAUGUGCUGUGCUUGCUGCUCCUCUCAGCAAAUGGAUUCAUUCCAUCAGUACUCAGUGCAAACCUAACAUUCCUUGGUUCAUUCGCAAAGUCCUUGUGGUUUUCAUUGAAAUCUUUCCACUCCUGGCCAUCGGCUGGGUGCCGAAGCUUCCCAUCGUCUUUGUGCUCAUCAGAAGCAUGCCAGCUCAUAAGUUGGGUAUCCUCUGGGUUAGCAAACAAGCACCUCAAUCGAUCGAUCACAGGAAGGUACCACAUCACCAAAGCAGGAAUCUUUUUCUGCACAUAAUUGUCUACUUCUUCCUUUUCUUUGCCGGUGGGUUUUGAACUACUCUUCUGGGUCUUUUGUUGGGCCUUCUUUCGUUUCUUGCCCUUAGGCACAGAGGCAACACACUCUUCCUCUAUGUAGUCUUUAUUUAUCUUGUACCUACUUGCACCACACUUGGGACAGCUGUCCAAGUCUCUAUAAUCAUCGCCUCGAUAUAGGAUACAAUGAUUUCUACAAGCGUGGAUCUUCUCAACACCCAUUGUGAGUGGGAUAAUUAGCUUCUUUGCAUAAUAUGUGUUAGCAGGCACUUUAUUAUCCUUAGGAAGCAUGUCUGCGAUAAUGCUUAAGAACGCAUCAAAGCUAGCAUCAGAAAGACCAUAUCUAGCUUUGCACACCAACAACUUUAGCACAGACCGCAGCGUCGUGAACUCUUUGGUGCAACCCUUGGACUCAUCAUACAAAGGCUCUUCUGCUGCCUUCAUUAGGGCCUCCAUACCUUUCACGAAGAACACUGAUGGAUCUUCCGCAUGACGACGCAACAUUGCCUCUAGAAAUUCUACAUCUUCAGCAGCCAUGUUAGUUUCGGUGCCAUCUUCAUUUCCUCCAAUAAAACCAUGAUCAGGAACAUUUGGCACAACAUAUUCAGUGGCUAGACCAACGGUAUUAGGUUGUUGUGUCUCGUGUACCAACUCAAACCCGUCAACAAUUCCAGUUGUAUAAGGCGCAGAGCUACCCUCUCCAUGCUUUGUCCAAAUCAAGUAAUCUUUCAUAAAUCCUCGACGGACCAGAUGAGUAAGGAUUUGUUGAAUGUCAUCAGAUACAACAAGAUUUCUACAAUCCAUGCAUGGACAAUGUAUGUGCGUCUUUCUUGUUCUUGAAGCAUGGUUUUGAGCAGCAUCAAUAAACCUCUGGACCUCAGUUAUGUAUGAUGGAUCUAGUCUUGAUAAAUUAUACAUCCAAAAUGACCUCUCCAUCAAUUCCUGUAAAACACCAUUCAUAUGAUCUAAGGGUUUACAAAGGAUUUUUCUAGGGUUUAUUAGCUAGGGUUUAUGGUUAAGCUUGAGAUUAAAGGAAAAAACAUAAGUUACAUAAUUAAAAAAUAAUCUAAGUAUAGCAUAACUAUAUAAAUACAUCAUUCAUUAUAAAUAGAUAGAUGAUGUGGAAGGUGAUAAUAAAAAACCUAACUACCAUAUAAUUAAAAAAAUCCACAAUUAUCUCUCUACAUAAAUAUACAAAGAACACACCAUUGGUUUAAUCUUGUAAAAACUAGCUAAAUUGAGAAGCAAACAUGUUGAGAGGCAUUAUCCAACCAUAUUAAGCAACCCCAUCUAACCAUAUCAACAAAUAAAGACAAGAAGCUAGCUAUUCUUCUCUCUCACUCAUAAAACAUACAUACAUGUUGAUAAAUAAAUUGAAAAAUUUAUAAAGAGAGAGAGACAUAAAUUAGAAAACCUAAGUAUAGCAUAACUAUAUAAAUACAACAUUCAUUAUAAAUAGAUAGAAGAUGUGGAAUGUGACAAUAAAAAACCUAACUAUCAUAUAAUUAAAAAAAUCAACAAUUAUCUCUCUACAUAAAUAUACAAGAACACACCAUUGGUUUAAUCUUGUAAAAACUAGCUAAAUUGAGAAGCAAACAUGUUGAGAGACAUUAUCCAACCAUAUUAAACAACCCCAUCUAACCAUAUCAACAAAUCAAGAUAAAAAGCUAGCUAUUCUUCUCUCUCACUCAUGGUGAAACCCUAGAUCCAAAAAGUGGCUCAAAUUGAGCUAGAAUGAGCAAAUUGAGGCAAUAGGGACAUAAACUAACCUCUUUUAACAACCUCCUUCCAAGAAAUGAAGAUCAAAACCUCCCCCUUGUAAUUUGAGAAAUCUGGAACUCCAAAAUCGCCCCCAAUGGAAGGUGGGUGCGAGAUACUGUGUUCUGGUCGGGGAGGAAGAAGGGGUAUUUAUACAGAGAUAACACAGGCGGUUGCUUAAGUCAACCGCCUGUGAUAAUCGUUUCCACAGGCGGCCGAAAAUCUCUUACACCGCCCGAUUUAUACCACAGGCGCGUCAUAACUGGAACCGCCUGUGGUAUAAAAAGGGAGCGCCAGCUAUGAGCCUCUUUCUACUAGUGUCUGUCAGGGCGCUGCGUCACCGUCUUUUGGGCUGUUGGGCCUUGUAACGUGUUAGGGCAACUUAUGGACGUGAAGAGGGGACCUUAGACGUCCCUUUAGCUAUAUAAUCAGUAGCCGCCACCUACGUUAGGGUUUAGGUUUUGCUUAGAUUAUUCUAUUUACAACAGUUUCGCCGUCAUCGGUUUGUGAGACCCCAACUUCGUGAGAUUAAUCAUUUAUCUACAAAUUUGGUUGCAUUCUUUCUUGUUCUUGCUUGUGUUCUUCGAUUCGCAGGCAAGGAUUAGCCUUCUUGGCGAGGUUGACCAUGCAGCACCGGUCAAUAAUGAGAGGAGACGUGGUGCUAAGGUUGCAGGGUUCGGUUCUUUGUGAUUUGAAGCCGGAUCAGUGUGUCGCUCAAUGACCAAAUCAUUGUUUAUCUUGAACUUGACGGAAGAUCGGGAACCUUGUUCUCAAUAGGAAGCUUCCUCCACCACCUUUGAGGAGUCAUCUUGGCCCUUGGUUAAGUCGGUUUGAUCCUACGGCGCACAUUGAUCCCACGGGGCUAUAAAUAAAGGGGCAGACCCCCUCCCUGAGGUAUCAAGUCAUUUGGAGAUCCAUUCAUCAUGAGUCUUCUCUAGUUCAUGAGAGCCUCUCUAGUUCAUUGUUUUAGCCUAGUUAGAUUAGAAGUAGAAGAGUUCUAGGUCUUCAGCGGGAUCCAGAGCCUCUGGCGUCUGUCUGGAGCACAGAGUUCAGUAUAGCUAUAGUAAUUUUAUCUUAUUGUAUUCAAUAUUACGAUUCAGGCAACAUUGUUCUUAAUCUCUUAUAUAUUUUUAAUUGCAAUAGUCAUAGUCUACUUUGAUUAUAUGUCUAGGAUAGUUGGUUUGAUCUUAUUGAAUUCAUGUAAUUGCUCGUAUAGCGUUUACGCAAUCAAUUAGUGGGUAGAUGGUAGACAAUAUGUAGACGUGGUGUCUAGAUAUCUUAUUUAUCUGCGAGGACACCCUAACGUGCCGGGUCAUGUGGUAGUCCACGCAGGUGACUGCUGCGUUGGUUCCUUUGUAGUCCACCCCCUGUACAUAGGACAGCUUGAUGACGACAUUGCCACGCGGGAUACCUUGACACCAUCAUCUUUUUCAAGUUGCAAUUCAUCUCUAGCUCAGCUACCACGUCACUCUCGGAUUCAGCAAAUAUGUCGUCAGUGUUUUGAUCAUAACUGCUUCAUACGACAUUGAAACAAGGUGAUCUUGGACUCGUUGGAAAGGGGACAACGACGCUGUCGUUUUGGAUCUAGUCCCAGCUCUAGAUCUUUUGUGGAUUAAUCUUUAUGUCCAUGACAAGCUGCUGCGUCACCUAUUUUGGGCCAACUUGGCCAUAUAUCAAAUUCGGACAUUAAGCCUAUGUUGUGGGUGCCUCCCCUGGUCGCCUCCAACCCUAGGUCGCUUCUCCUUUAUAUUCCACGUAGUCGCCGCUGUUUAGACUCGGGUUUUGUUUAGCGUUUAGUUUUCCUUUGAAAAACUAAAUCGUUCAUUGUAACUAUGGUGACAAAUUCUUUUACAGUGAUCCAGAGCCCCCGUUCCUGAUCUCCUCCACUGUGUCAAUUAGAGCUUUGGAACCGAGCUCUUGUACCCUCAUUUGAAUAUUUGUGUCAAUCAUAUUUGCAAAUUCAGAUUGCGUGUUUAUACUUUCUUGCUUGUGUUCUUCGAUUCGCUUGCAGAAAAAGCCUUCUUGGCGAGGUCAAUCAAGUUGUGCUUGGUUGAUAUCCAACGGAGCAGUGGUGUAACGGUUGCAGGGUUCGAAUCGUGUUGAUUUGAAGCCGGAUCGCAAAUGUCGAGUUCUCCACAAAUUGAAUUUACCAAUUACCUCUCAGAAGAUCAGGCCUGAACCUCAUCAAUUGGUAUCAGAUAUCUCAGAUUUACCGCGAGAUAUAAUCUCGUUUGUCCUAUAUUCAUAUUUGUUCAUUACCUACAAUCCACAAAAAGCCCAAAAAAAUAGUUUAAUUUUCCGCUGUCCUAUCAUCCAUUGUGCCUUGCAAUUUCGUUUUCAGUUUUGCUUUGUGGAGUUUGUGUCCGUGGUUGAGUCUAGUUGCUGGUUUUGAUUGUUUUCGUCAUCAUAGUUCAUUUGCACCGUUGCUAUUCCUAGUUUCUGCUACUACUCAUCCACUGUUUCCAGACAACAAGUCGAAGCCACCAUAUUACUCGACUUGCCUCCGCUAGCCGUCUUGUGUGAUCUCUCGCCGCCUUGCUAACCCUAGAUAGGUUGUCAGCCGCUGUUAUUUUGUCUGCUUCGCAGCCCUCCUUAUAUCAUGAGGCGCAUACCUACUGCAGUUAGUUACAGGGAUGAUUCAUCCUAUGAUUAGUGUUGGAUUUUAGGGAUGCUUUGCCCUAACUGCCGCCGCCGCCGCCGUCGCUUUGGUGUGCCUUCCGGAAAACAUAACUUGAGAUACCUUCAGUAAAACCAGCAUAACUUUUCGCUCGUUUAUUAGAAAAAUCUGAAAUUUUUACAGCAGCUUCUUGACAUCAUUUGGAGCCGACCAAACUUGGCUUUUCCUUGUUUGGUCUCAGCAAAAUUGCCAAAAAAAUUCAGGAAAAUAAAGAAAAAAAUGACAAGGGUUUUGCACGCUUUUCAGAGAACUUGCUGAAUUUCUGUAGACCACAUCUGACCCCAGUUGCUGUUGCCAAUUUUUGUGGUUACAUCUUUUGUGAUCCUUGUUUAGAGAAAAAUAUAAAAAAAUAGUGAAAAAAUAAAAAAUCUUAAUUCCUACUAGUGCCUUUUGGGAAAAUCUAGGAAAAUCAGGAUAAAGGAAAAAUCUGCUCUAUUGCUUGUUCACUGAGUUCCUUCCAUCAUACUUUGUUUCACCUUGUUGUGCUAGGUCUAGACACGUCUUAGCCAGCAAUUGUGAUUUGUCCUUUGGAUACUUAUUGAACUUAGCUAACUCUGGAUUCGAAUUUUGCUAAUCCUUGCUACAAAUUAGGCCUAUCCAAAGCUUCACAUAUACUUCUGUCAGCACAGGUUCCUCUUGCAACUGUUUACCCACGCUCAACAACAGAUUACUUUGCCAAUUUGGUUUUGCUCCUGUUUGGCUUUGGUAAGAACACUUGUAUGAUGGUGGUAAACCGCUGCUGAUUUUGUAUUCCACUGUUACCACCACCACUUGGUUCCUUUUAGUUGAUAGGGAUAAUCCUUUGCUGUUGUUUUUUUCCCUAUUUUCUAACCAUGGCAGAAUCUCCAACGGAUUUCAAUGAUUGUGUGUCCAAGGGUGAACUUACAGCGUUCAUCACUGAACAGCGCAAUCUUAUGAACGAACUGACAUGCAAUGUGAACAAUCUGGUCACCCGCAUUGAACAGAUUGAGCAAUGCCCUCAAUCUCAUCAUGGGGAUGAUGAAGAUGCAGAUGGAGAUCUAUCUGCUCAUGAAGAUGUGGACGAUGACGGUGAUGCACGCAACCGUCGCCGCUAAAACUUCAAUCAUCGCAGUAUGGGAGGUAAUAACCAUGGUAAUAAUGAUCCUUUUGCUAAAAUUAAAUUUAGCCUACCUCCUUUUGCUGGUAAUGAGGCAUAUUUAGAUUGGGAGCUUGCUAUUCAACAAAAAUUUGAUUCUCAUAAUGUGCCUGCUGAGCAUAGAGUUAGACUUGCUACUAGUGAGUUUACUAAUUUUGCUUUGUUUUGGUGGAGUGACCUUUGCAAUACUAAUAAUGCUGCUGCUGUGCCUCAAACUUGAAAUGCUUUAAAACAACGUAUGAAAUCUCAUUUUGUUCCUCCUUAUUAUCAAUGUGAUUUACGUCUUAAACUGUAAACUUUAAAACAAGGGGAUAAAAGCGUAGAAGCAUACUAUCAAGAAUUGCUUAUUGGUUUAGCACGUUAUGGUGUACAUGAAGAUGAUGCUGAUGCUAGUGCUAGAUUCUUUGGUGGUUUAAAUCAUGAUAUCUAGAAUAUUCUUGAUUACAAAGAAUGGCGUAAUUUUUUCCAAUUGUAUCAUCUUGCUAUAAAGGCAGAACGUGAAGUACAGGGACGCAAGCAACACCAUACUUUCAGGUCUAAUAAUGGGAGGAAUUUUCAGCAGCGUUCUGAGCCAGAGACACCUGCAUUUUCUUCUAGGUAUGUAUAUUGUCUAAUGUGCAGCUCCCACAGCUGAAGAAAGGUGCCACUCCAGGUGCUUCCACUAGUUCCUCUUCGCCCAGCGCUAAAAUCAUUUGCCAUCGAUGCAAAGGCAUGGGACAUAUCAUGAAGGAUUGCCCCAGUCGUCACGCUUUCAUUGCUACCAAGGAUGGAUAUAUAAGUGCUAGUGAUGUUGAAGAUGAUUUAGCCCUUGCUGCUAACAUUGCUGUAGAUCCCACCGAGGGCGAUCAAGACACGGAGACCAUCGUCAUUGACUCUGUUGCUGCCUCUGCGGGCUAUCCUAGCCUUCUUGUGCAGCGUGUGUUGAGUUCACGUGUGGUACAUGAAGAAGAUAAGCAGAUCCAGCGCCACGAUUUGUUCCACAAAUAUCUUAUUGUGCAGGGUUGUCGUGUUCUCACCAUCAUUGAUAGCGGGAGUUGCAACAACUUGGUGAGUUUAGAUUUGGUUGAGAAGCUUUGCUUAACCACACGACAACAUUCGUAUCCAUAUAAACUUCAAUGGUUCAAUAAUAGUGGUAAGGCUAAGGUAACUAAAUCAGCCCGCAUUAGUUUCUUCACAGGUUAUUAUCACGAUACUGCUGAUUUUUAUGUUGUGCCUAUGCAAGCUUGUUCAAUUUUGUUAGGACGUCCAUGGGAUUUUGAUAAUGAUGCUUUACACCAUGGUAGAACUAAUACAUACACUUUCAUACAUAAGAACAAGAACAUUUCUUUGCUCCCUUUGUCACCAAUGGAUAUUGUUAAACAUGGUAAAGAUAUUAACAAUAAACCUUCCACAAACGUUGAUAAAAAUAAUGGAAAUAAGUUAUAUGGAGGUGCUUUACUUGCUACAACUUCUACUACUGUUGCGUUAUGUCAUAAUCCAGAUGCACCAUGUUAUACUAUGCUUUGUCAACCUAUUAUGUCUUGUGCAUUGCAUGCUGUCACUAACUUUUACCAGGAGUUUGUUGAUGGGGAAGAGUUGAGGACGACUCCAAUUGUAGAAGGAGGGGAUGAUGAGGACAUCACCAAGAUAGAGUCGAGGACGACUCCAAUUCAAGAAGGGGAGGAUGAUGAGGACAUCGCCACACUGGAUAUGUUGACACCAUCAUUUUUUCCAAGUUGCAAUUCAUCUCCAACUCAGCUACCACGUCACUCUCAGAUUCAGCAAACAUGUCAUCAGUGUUUUGAUUAUAACUUCUUCGUACGACAUCAAAACAGGGUGAUCUUGGACUUCUUGGAAAGGGGACAAUGACACCGUCGUUUUGGAUCUAGUCCUAGCUCUAGAUCCUUCGUGGAUUAAUCGUUAUGUCCCCGACAAGGUGCUGCGUCACCUAUUUUGGGCCAACUUGGUCAUGUAUCGAAUUUGGGCCUUAAGCCCAUGUUGUGGGUGCCUCCCCAUGGUCGCCUCCAACCCUAGGUCGCUUAUCCUUUAUAUUCUACGCAGAUGCCGCUGUUUGGACUUGGAUUUUGUUUAGAGUUCAGUUUUCCAUCGAGAAACUGAAUCGUUCAUUGUAACUGUGGUGACAAAUCCUUUUACAGUGAUCCAGGGCCCCCGUUCUUGAUCUCCUCCACUGCGUCGAUUAUUCCUUUGGAACCGAGUUCUUGAACCCUCAUUGAAUAUUUGCGUCAUUCAUACCUGCAAUUUCAGAUUGUGUGUUUAUACUUUCUUGCUUGUGUUCUUCGAUUCGCUUGUAGGAACAGCCUUCUUGGCGAGGUCAAUCAAGUUGUACUUGGUUGAUAACCAACGGAGCAGUGGUGUAACGGUGGCAGGGUUCGAAUCGUGCUGAUUUGAAGCCGGAUCGCCAACGUCGAGUUCUCCACAAAUCAAAUUUAUCAAUUACCUCUCGGAAGAUCGAGCCUGACUCUCCUCACAAUGGUUCAAUAAUAGUGGUAAGACUAAGGUAACUAAAUGAGUCCGCAUUAGUUUCUUCACAGGUUGUUAUCAUGAUACUGCUGAUUUUGAUUUUGUGCCUAUGCAAGGUUGUUCAAUUUUGUUAGGACGUCCAUGGGAAUUUGAUAAUGAUGCUUUACACCAUGGUAGAACUAAUACAUACACUUUCAAAUAUAAGAACAAGAACAUUACUUUGCUGCCUUUGUCACCAAUGGAUAUUGUUAAACAUGUUAAAGAGAUUAACAAUAAACCUUCCACAAACAUUGAUAAAAAUAAUGAAAAUAAGUUACAUGGAGGUGCUUUACGUGCUACAACAUCUACUACUGUUGUGUUAUAAGAUAAUCCGGAUGCACCAUGUCAUACUAUGCUUUGUCAACCUAUUGUCUUGUACAUUGCCUGCUGUCACUAAUCUUUUGCAGGAGUUUGAUGAUGGGGAAGAGUCGAGGACGACUCCAGUUAUAGAAGGAGGGGAUGAUGAGGGCAUCGCCAAGAUGGAGUCGAGGAUGACUCCAUUUCAAGUAAGAGAGGAUGAUGAGGACAUCGCUAUGCUAAAUACGUUGACACCAUCGUCUUUUCCAAGUUGCAAUUCAUCUCCAACUCAACUACCACGUCACUCUCGGAUUCAGCAAACACGUCGUCAGUAUUUUGAUCAUAACUUCUUCAUACGAUAUCGAAAAGGAGUGAUCUUAGACUCGUUGGAAAGGGGACAACGACACCGUCGUUUUGGAUCUAGUCCCAACUCCAGAUCUUUGGUGGAUUAAUCUUUAUGUCCACGACAAGGUGCUGCGUCACCUAUUUUGGGCCAACUUGGUCAUGUAUCGAAUUCGGGCCUUAAGCCCAUGUUGUGGGCGCCUCCCCCUGCUUGCCUCCAACCCUAGGUCGCUUCUCCUUUAUAUUCCAUGCAGCCGCCGCUGUUUAGAUUUGGGUUUUGUUUAGAGUUUAGUUUUCCUUUGAGAAACUGAAUCGUUCAUUGUAACUAUGGUGACAAAUCCUUUUACCGUGAUCUAGGGCCCCCGUUCUUAAUCUCCUCCACUGUGUCGAUUAGUCCCAUGGAACCAAGCUCUUGAACCCUCAUUUGAAUAUUCGUGUCAUUCAUAUCUGCAAUUUCAGAUUGCAUGUUUAUACUUUCUUGCUUGUGUUCUUUGAUUCGCUUUCAGGAAAAGCCUUCUUGGCGAGGUCAAUCAAGUUGUGCUUGGUUGAUAUCCAACGGAGUAGUGGUGUAACAGUUGCGGGGUUCGAAUCAUGCUGAUUUGAGGCCAGAUCGCCAACGUCAAGUUCUCCACAAAUCAAAUUUACCAAUUACCUCUCGGAAGAUCGGGCCUGAAGCUCAUCACGCUCGGGCGCGGUCGCGAAGGAGGUGACGGUUGUGUCUUAAAACCCUCAUUAGUUGAUGCCUCUUUGCAUGUGAUCAUGAUAUAGGGUUGACUUAACAAUGAUUUCUAGAUGUAAUUGCACUAAUUAGAGUUAUUCAUUGAUGUAGUUAUAGAAUUACCUUAGUAUUUCUUCAUGAGUUUAUCUAAUGGCUGGCUAUUACUAUGACUAGAAGAGCUCUGAUAUUUAUAUAUUUAUGAUGACUGAUCAUUAUUUAUCUUAUAUCUUUUAUCAAGUGACUUAUCCCUAUUAUGAGUAGGAUUCUAGUUAUGGUUUAUUGUUCACACCAAUAGUAUAAGUUAUAGUUAUAAGUCCUACAUAUAUACCUUCCCUGUGGAUACGAUAUUUAAAACCCCCUGGGUAAAAUGUGAUAUUGGUACGAUAUCUAUGCGCUUGCAGAUAAUUUUACUUAAAUCUUAUUUAAAGGAUUGCAGUUAAGUUGUACCAACAUAUAUACAUACAUGCUCAGGUGAAUUGCACAAAUAACAUAUAUAAUGAGUGAUUCGAGUGUGCUACAUGAUGGAGUAGCAUAAGCUAAGGUUUUCUUUAUAAAAAUAUUAUAACAUUCCAAGUGACAGGCUAAAGGAAAAGAGAACUCUAUUUUGUACUGUUCCAUCUUCAACUUCUCAAUGUUUUAUGGUAGACACUUUGAAUCCCGUAGUACAGGUAUGACUUGGAAUAAAUCUGGUGAUGUCUAGGUUUUGAGGUUAUGAUUAAAAUAGUCUAUCAAUAAUUUUUCCUCGAGGAUGAGUAAAGAUAAGUGUGGGGGAUUUUGUUGACGGUAGAUAACUCCUAAUUUUAACCGUCAACUUAACAUGAAAAAGGAACUAUUUGCAAGCACUCAAUAGAUAUAGGGUUAUCACUAACAGAAUUCCACGAGUUUUGGGGAUUGUCUAUUUCUGCAGGGUUAUCGGAAUAAUAACAAAAGAAGGUCCACAUAUCAGAUUUACAUAGAGAGAAGACCAAAACAUAAACUCAGGAACAAUCUAGACUCCAGGAUCCACACCCUGGAAGAUGGGACCCACCUGCCAUAGGGUAGGGGCGGCCGCCCGGGGCUCUCCACCAAUCAUAGUGAACCUCGCGGAUCCUGCCUCCACCAACUUUGAGGAUUAAUCUUAAGCGCAUGUUUAAGUUAGUUUGAUCCAAGGGCUAUGGUGAUUCCUAGGGGGGCUAUAAAUAAGACCCUGACCCCCCUAUUUCUAAUACUAAAACCCUAAUUCAUAUUUUAUAGAGAGAAUUAGAUAGAGAGGGGUCCCUCAAAUGGAUCUGUCUCUUUAGGUUGAUAGCAACAAGAGAGAUUGAGAGAGUAUAGGGUGAAGAUAGGAGUUGAGGAAGCCUGGCCUAUUGUUGCCUUCUUCUUUGUAUCUUUGGGGUCAAGUCUCCUAGCCUGAGGCUUGGUUCUAGAAUUGUUUGGCAAUUUAACUUCCAAUACUAGUAAGUUAUUCUUCUUAUUGUUCUUUGGUUCAUGAGUUUACUUUAUUAGCUUCACGUAGGUAAUAGAGUAAUUAUUCGUAGCGUAAGCAUGGUGCUUAGGCUAGGACUAUACUCCCUAUUUGGCUGGAUUUGUGGUUGCCUUUUGGGGGAAGUGACAAUCCUCUUGGGUCUCAGUAAUCCACGUCCCAUCAGAAGGUAAGGUAGGGUAUAUGGUACUAGGGUUAUGCACUCUCUGAGGUGUCCCUUUUCUCUAGUUACUCCUCUUAGAAUGAUAUCUACACUCUUGCCAUAGGUUAGAAGAAGACUGAAGAAAGAGUUCUCUAUAUAUUGCUUAUAUCUCGCUAUCUUGUCUUGCAACCCAUGGGUAAUAGGAAGGAUAAAAGAUUAGCCUUUUGCACGCUUUCUCCUAGUGGUAAAAAAGUAAAUAUGAUAAUCUAGACUUAUCUCCCGGGUGAAGUAAUCACAGAUAUCCGUGCACUUGUGGAUUAUGUCUCUUUGAUUCUUUCAUGUGCAUAACUAAUAUCAACAAGCCCCCUAGGAAGCACCACAGCCCUUGGAUCAAACCGACUUAAACGUGCGCUUAAGAUUAAUCCUCAAAGUCGGUGGAGGCAGGAUCCGUGAGGUUCACGGUGAUUGGCUGAGCCCUCCAGGCUGCCACCCCUAACAGGGUGGGGCACCCGCCCCUACCCUAUGGCAGGUGGGCCCCUCCUUUCAGGUGGUGUCUUCCCGAGCCUUAUAGAGUAUUCUUGAGUUGACAUUUAACGUAUUCUCUCUAUGUAAAUUUGAAUUGUGGACCUCAUUUUGUUCUUAUUCCGAUAACCCCCUGCAGAAAUAGACAGUCACCAAAACUUGUGGAACUCUACUAGUGAUAACUCCUAUACCUAGAUAGUAUUCUCAUUUUAAUCCUUUCUCAUGCUAUGUUGACGGUUAAAAAGAGUACUUAUCUACUGUCAACAGUUACUGAUAGAGUUUUCUCUCUAUGUAAAUAUAAAAUGUGUACCUUAUUUUGCUAUUAUUCUAAUAACCUCCUUCAAAAAUAUUCAAUCACCAAAACUUGUGGAAUUCUGUUAGUGAUAACCCCUCUAGCUAGAUGAUAUUAUGAUUUUAGUCCUUUCUCAUGCUAUGUUGAUAGUUAAAAAGAGUACUUAUCUACCGUCAACAAACUCCUCCAAGCUUACCUUUUGCUCAUCCCUGAGCAAAGAUAGAUUUAGUGAUGGAUCAAGAGUUGCUAUAAUACUUUCACGCCUCACAAGUACAUAUGCGUUCAAACAAGGACUCUCCUCCAGAUUAGAGUGAACCAUUCUAACUCAAGACUCACCCAUAUUACCUUUCACCAUGGGGCUUAUAGCUGUCACUUAGGUCUUGAACAAUUGAAACACAGAACGGUUAAGUGAAGCACUAUGUUUCUCGCCCUUUUGAUCAACUAUUAUUCCAGAGUUUUUGCAAGAUUUUUAAAUAAAACUUAGAGAUUCCUUGUAUGACCAUUUUCAGUUUCUCAUAUCUAGGAUUUUUGGAUCCUGUCCAAGGCAAGUAAAUAUGUCUUCUCGCAGAAUAUGGUAUUUAUAUCACUAAGGCAUGGUUGCCUUCUCUCUCUCACCCUACUUCUAGUUGGCUUAUGUGGAGCUCAUAGGUGAGAAAGACAAUUCAAACCUACUUGGAUGUAUUUCAUGGUUAAACCGUGGAUCCAGAGAAACUAAUUAUAGAAUCAAGCCAUAUGUUCAUGCGAGUGCAGUGAAUGAGUGAUGAUAAUAGUGAGGGGUGAUGACUGACGGUGAAUAUCUAAUUCUAUAAUUGCUCCUUGGGGAUAACAUACCUCCCGAAUCUAAAAAUAAGGACUUGAUUGUCUUCCUUUCUUUUGGGACUUUUGUCCUCUUUCUUUUCUUUUCUCUUGUUUAAGAGAUCAGCCAACCCUUUUAAUGCACUAAUAGUAGUAUGGAGUGUCAACUAGAAUAACUUGAGCUUUAUUGGAUAAGUAGAAUAAGACAUAAUUAAAAUAAAUAUUUUUGGGUGUCUUCUCCUAGUGUAGGAGUAGAACAUUUUCUGAGUGGAUGCGGAAUGUGGAUGGAUGAAUGCGUACUCCCAGGGUAGGAGCAGCAUAGGUCCGUGUCUCUAGGAUAGAAGUAGUUUCGAGUGUAGUGCGUAUAUUGGGUAGUACUUCUAGGAACAUACGUAGCACAUAGUGAAUGUGGUGGAUGUAAGUCAUUGAUACUUUUGAUGAUGAGGACCAGGCCUGAUCUUCCGAGAGGUAACUGUUAAAUUUGAUUUGUGGAGAUCUCGACGUUGGCGAUGCGGCUUCCAAUCAGACACGAUUCGAACCCUACAAUCGUUACACCACUGCUCUGUUGGUUAUCAACCAAGCAGGACUUGGUUGACCUCGCCAAGAAGGUUGUUCCUACAAGUGAAUCCAAGAACACAAGCAAGAAGGUAUAAACAUGCAAUCUGAAAUUGUAAAUAUGAAUGACACGAAUAUCAAAAGAGGGUUCAAGAACUUAGUUCCAAAGGACUAAUCGACAUAGUGGAGGAGAUCAAGAACGGGGCCCUAGAUCACUGUAAAAGGAUUUGUCACCACAUUUACAAUAAAUGAUUCAGUUUCUCGAUGGAAAACGAAACUCUAAACAAAACCCAAGUCUAAACAGCGGUGCCUGCGUGGAAUAUAAAAGAGAGGAAUCCUAGGGCUAAAGGUGACCAAGGAGAGGUGCCCAAACCUUGGGCUGAAGGCCGACUCCAUACAUGACCAAGUUGGCCCAAAAUAGGUGACACAACACAUUGUUGUGGUCACACAGAGUAAUCCGAGAUGAUUUGGAGCUGGGACUAGACCCAAAAUGACGGCGUCAUCGUCUCCUUUACAACGAGUCCAAGAUCACCCCGUUUUGAUUCCGUAUGAAGAAGUUAUGAUCGAAACUCUGACGAUAUGUCUACUGAAUCUGAAUGUGACGUGGUAGCUGAGUUGGAGAUGAAUUGCAACUUGAGAAAGAUGAUGGUGUCGACGUGUCUAGUGUGGCGAUGUCCUCAUCAUCCUCCACUUCUUGAAUUGGAGUCGUCCUCGACUCCAUCUUGGUGAUGUUCUCAUCAUCCCCUCCUUCUAGAUCCUGAGUUAUCCUUGACUCUUCCCCAUCAACAAACUCCUACAAAAGGUUAGUGACAGCAGGCAAUGCACCAGACAUAAUAAGUUGACAAAACAUAUUAUAACAUGGUGCAUCUGGAUUAUCAUAUAACUCAGCAGCAGCAGAAGUUGUAGCAAGUAAAGCACCUCAUUGUAACUUAAUCCCAUUAUUUUUAUCAAUGUCUAUUAGAGGUUUAUUGUUAAUCUCCUUAGGAUGUUUAACAAUAUCCUUAGCUGACAAAGACAGUAAAUUAAUUUUCUUGUCCUGAUGCAUGAGUGUAUGCUUUAGUUCUACCAUGGUGUAAAGCAUCAUUAUCAAAUUUCCAUGGACGUCCUAAUAAAAUUGACAAGCUUGCAUAGGUACAACAUCAAAAUCAGCAGUGUCAUGAUAAAUGUCUGUGAAAAAACUAAUACGGACUGAUUUAGUUACCUUAGUCUUACCACUAUUAUUGAACCAUUGAAGUUUGUAUGGAUAUGAAUGUUGUCGUGUGGUCAAGCCAAGAUUCUCAACCAAAUCUGAACUCACCAAGUUGUUGCAACUCCCACUGUAAAUGAUGGUGAGAACAUGACAACCCUGCACAAUGAGAUUAAUGUGGAAAAAUUAUGGCAUUGGAUCUGCAUCUCUUCUUCAUCUUCUAUAUGUGAACUCAACACACGCUGCACAAAAAGGCUAGGAUAGCCUGUGGAGGCAGCCAUAGAGUCAAUGGCGAUGGUCUUCGUGUCUUAAUCGCCCUCGGUGGAAUCUACAAAAAUGUUAGCAGCAAGGGCUAAAUCAUCUUCAACAUCACUAGCACUUACAUAUCCAUCCUCGGUAGCAAUGAAAGCGCAACGACUGGGACAAUCCUUUAUGACAUGUCCGAUGCCUUUGCAUUGGUGGCAAAUGAUUUUAGAGUUGGGUGAGGAGAAGCUAGUAGAAGCACCCGGAGUGGCACUCUUCUUCAGCUGUCGAGGCUGCACAUUAGACAAUUUACUUAUCCCAGAAGAAAAUGCAGGUGUAGAUGGUUGUGGUGCAACAGAAAUCUUAGGCGUUUGUGGCUUACAACGCUACUAAAAAUUACUCUCAUUGUUAGACUUGAAAGACUGGUGUUGUUUGCGUCCCUGUACUUCGUGUUCUGCCUUAAUAGCAAGAUGAUCUAAUUAGGAGAAAUUACACCUUCUUUGUAAUCAAGAAUAUUUUGUAUAUCAUGAUUUAAACCACCAAAGAAUCUACCACUAGCAACAACAUCAUCUUCAUUUACACCACAAUGUGCUAAACCAAUAAGCAAUUCUUGAUAGUAUGCUUCUACUCCUUUAUCUCCAUGUUUUAAAGUUUGUAGUUUAAGACAUAAAUCACGUUGAUAAGAAAGUGGAAAAAAAUGAGAUUUCAUACGUUGUUUUAAAGCAUUCCAAGCUUGAGGCACAACAACAACAUUAUUGAAAGUGCAUCUAGCCCUUUGUGGGUUUUGGUGAAUUGAAUGACAACAUAAUUAAAGAUCUAAUAAGUUUGCUAAGUGUUGAAUAGGAUAUUGAGUCUAUUGCAUAUACUUGUGGAUUGUGUAUGAACAAGUAUAUGCAAGGCUCAACAAGCAGGCCAACUUGAUGAUAUGCCACAUAGUGUUGAAAUGAAGGCCAAUUUGUGUAUUGUUGUACUGGAAGAUUAUGGAAACAAUCUAGCUUAAGCAAAAGACAACAAUGCAAAUGAAAUCUAUGGAAUGGCCUCUAUGUUGUGGGAUAUCAUAGCAUCGUGAGAAAGCAAGCAUACUUGUAAAAUGGCAAAAGAGACAUGAGUCGAUGUUCUUGGAUUGGUCUCUACAAUGGCUUGCUUUUCAUGAACAAGAAGAGUUUGAUAGUGAACUAGGUUUGAUCAAGCUAGAAGUAUGAAGAUAAAGAUUGAAGUGGUAUUGAGUGUCAAGACAAAAUUGAGAGGAUAUAAGGAACUGUGAAUUGGCUUGACCAUAUUGAUGCUAAUCCAUAUAUGUCUCUAUGUGAGUCAAACUGAAUCUUGAUUGAUCUCAAUAUUUAUAUCUAGAAGAUAUUCAAGCAAGGAUCACGAUAUUGAAGAAAUGGUUAUUCAAUGGAUGCUUAAUAUGAUAUGACUUGAGUAUGGCUUGAUAAGGUGAAGAUAGCAAGGAAAGGGCUUCGAGGGACUAAGCGGAGGUGAAGGGAUAAGCGGCGGCUUAAGGACUGAGUUACCAUUGCUAAGGUGAAGAAGAGAGUACUUGCAUUGAGUCGAGGAACUAAUCAAGCUAUGAGGAGUCAUAUUGUGUUGAGAAUCAAAUCAUUAGUAGAAGUGACUUGAAGCCAUGGAGGUGAACUCAUAUGUGUUGAAAUGGGUAAAGUCACAUGCUCAAGGUAUGUUUGCUCAAAGAAAGGAGACAAAGUUGAUUGCAACCCUUCAUGGAGUAAUAUUGAGAAGAAAUGGCAUAUGAAGUCAUUGAAGACUCAAGUGAUCAAAUUAGUUAUAUUCUCUUGUUCUUGAGUAUAGGUAUUGAAAGGAUCAAGAUGCCCAAGAGGGGGGGGUGAAUUGGGCUUUUCUAAAAAUUUAAGCAACCUAUAAGCUCCAAUUCAACCCCUUGUGCCUAGUGUGACCUAGAGAGCUACCGGAUAAAAGUUUUGCAACCUAGUUCCAAUCCUAUUCUAGCAAAGCAAUUCUAAGAAUGUAAAAACACAAAGUAAAUGCUAGAAUGUAAAGGAGUAGUGGAAGAAAGUGCUCGACGAUGUUUCGACGAGGUAUCGGAGAGUCGCCACUCUCCACUAGUCCUCGUUGGAGCACCCGCGCAAGGGUCUUGCUCUCCCUUGGUCCGUGCAAGGACCAAGUGCCAUCUACGGGCUGAUUCUUUGACACUCCGUCGCGGUGAAUCGCCCAAAACCGCUCACAAGCUUGACACGAGCCACCUACAAGAACUCCGGGCGGUCUUCGUGCCUCCAAUCACCACCGAACCGUCUAGGUGAUGGCGAUCACCAAGAGUAACAAGCAAAGAACUCUCACUUGACCCAAACAAUGCACUAGAGAGUGGUGGAUGCACACUUGACUCUUGGAAUUCACUAGAGAAGGAUUCUCUCAAGAAAUCACUCAAAUCUCAAUCCUCUCUAGGCUCUUGCUACUCUCUUGCUCCACAACAAGUUUCUCUGAUGUUCAAAUGGGCAAGAGACCUCUCAUGGACGAGGUGGAGGAGUAUAAAUACUAUCCACGAAGUCCAAAGGUCAGCCAACCGUUUUCCACUGAAAACGGGGUCACCGGACGCACAUUAUGUUGCACCGGACGCACUGCACCGAGCGUCCGGUGCUCCAUAACGGCUAACUGUACUUGCUUCUGACAGGUCACCGGACGCUAACUUCUAGCGUCCGGUGCACCGUCCGUUGCUCUGGGAAGAUUUACAUGCUCCCUGCGCAUGGGACCGGACGCUACCCGGUGCGUCCGGUGCUCGGGGAAGGUUUACAACUGUUGGGUAUUUUAAACGCAAACAGAAAAAUCCGCAAGCGCACGGAUACCGAUGUAGCUUUCACCCGGGAGUAUUCUAGAGUAUCGAUUUUCCACAGAGAACGUGAGUGUACUAAUUAAGAUCCAAGAUCGCCCAAGGAUAACUAUAUAAUUAUUUUUGGUGGGAAGAGAGGAAGUUUCCUGAGAGUUCUCUAGUUGAUCUAAGAAUCAAGAAUUACUUCAAAAUUAUCUAUAUCGGGACAUCAGAGCACUAACCAUAGAAAGAGAUGAGAAGGGGGCUAGGAAGGUCUGACUAUGGUCCUACAAACACCGAUCUGAACGUGGUGGAAUACGUCGACCGUUAGGGCUGUCACUACCCUAAGGCUACCACAACAAUCCGCAUGAUUGGGUGCAAUUCCAGGUAAUUGCAAGACUAAACACCACGUCUAAUCUAUUAAUUACUACUCUAAUGUUUCAAAGAUUAGAGCACUUGAUGCAAGCGGGAAUCCAAUAAAUAACUUGAAUGUAAAUAAAAGUAAUUAGAGAACUCAGGAGUUAUGAGUUGAAGAACCUGGAGAACAAUGAAGAACGAACCAGUUGCUGCAAAAGUACAAUGUUGAGGAAGAUCCGACAGAUCCGGCUCCUCCUUCUCUCUCCUAUUCUCUCUCCCUAUUUUCUAGAUUACAACUAGAACUAACUAGAACUAGAACUAGAGGAACUAGAACUAGAACUAGAUGAACUAGAACUAGAUCUAGAUGAACUAGAGGUAGAACUAGAAGAACUAGAGGGAUCCUCUCUACUUGGAUGACGAAUUGAAACCCUAGCUUUGAUUCUGUAGAAGAGGUAUGAUCUCCAGGGGCCAGGGGGCCUUGCUUAUACAGUCUUUUCAGAUGAAUCUGGGCCGUCGGAUCAAACCGACACUGAUCGUGUGGUUUUCCUUGAAGUAUUAGGUCGGUGGAGCAUGAUCCCCGAACUUCACCCUGAUUGGUCCAGGGGGGAGGGCAGGCGCCCUCAGGACUAGGGCGGGCGCCCUGUCCCUGAGGCCUCUCGUCUUCCGCUUCGGUCCCGUGGCUUCUGGAGUCUUCUAGAUGAUAGAAAAUUGCGCGGCACGUUAAUAUCUCUAUGUAAACCCGACGUGUGGGCCUUUCUUCCGUAUUUCCUGAUAACCCCCUACAAAAAUAGACAAACACCAAAACUCGUGGAAUUCUGUCAGAUAAAACCCUAAGUCUAGGUGUUGGUUGAAUAUAAGUCUUUUUCCAUGAUUAGUUGAUGGUUAAAUGUGAGCAUUAAGGACCGUCAACAAGCUCCCCCAAGCUUAACCUUUGCUCGUCCCUGAGCAAAGUUGAACUCAAAAGUUUCUGCAGUGGUUUCAUGCCUUAAAGAUACAAAUGCAUUCAAAUAAGAUAUCAUCUCUAGGUUAGAGUAAACCGUCAAGACUUAAAACUUACUCAUUUACCUUUCACCAUGGGACUUGUAACCGUCACUUCUGUCUUGAGUAGUUAAAAGAUAGAACAGUCUAGUCAAGCGCCAUGUCUCUUGUUCUUCGAUUAACUAUAGCUCUGGAGUUUUUGCAGAUUUUUAAAUAAAACUCAGAGAUUCCUUGUAUGACUCUCUCUAGUCUCUCUUUUGUGGUAUUUCUGGAUCCUUACCAAGGCAGUAAUGGUAUAUGCCUUCUCUCAAAGUAUGUAGUAUUUUUGGUAUGAGGCAUAGUGGCAUUGCCUUCUCUCUCACCCUACUCUAAUAAGGUUUUGAUAUCUGGAGCUCAUAGGUGGGAGACAGCUAAUACAUACUUACAAGACAUUUAUUGCAUAGUCAAACCAUGGAUCCAAAGAAAGAAGUCAAUAAGUCAAAUCAAGAUGUGCAUGUGUAGCGAAUGAAUGGUGCAUGGUAAUGAUGGUGAUAACAAUGGUGAAAGUCUAAUUCUACUUGUGCUCUUUUAAGGGGAUACAUACCUUUCUUGCUCUUUUGAAACUUUUGGGGAGAAUGAGAUGCUCUAUAUUUUCUUUUUUUUCUCUCUUUUUUUUUCUUUUCUCUCAUGUGGAUAUCUUGUACCCCUAAUUCUACUGUCGGACACUUGUCCAUUUUUACCUCUCGUCUCACUUUUUUUUCUUUUCUUUCGAGGUUCCGGGCACUUGACCCUUUUUAUUUACUCGUAUUCUUUCUCUUUUUUUUUCUUUCUUUUUUUUAGAGCACUCAUCUCCUAAAAUAAUAUAGCAAGUGGUAGUAACCAAGAUAACUUGAGCAUUCAUUUCAUAGGGAAAAACAGAAAUAGGAGAAAGUUUUUGGCUAUUCUCUCCCGGAUUAGGAGUAGAAUAUUUAUGGGUGGUUCUAGAGAUGGAAAUGGAUGGAUAUAUGUGGAUGCGUACUUCCGAAGUAGAAGUAGCAUGUAUGAGUGAACGUGCAAGUGAAUCUUGACUUAACCACAUGACAAGCUCCUAAGGGUCUACACAGCUUGAUCACACUCAAUGCUCAUAAGCAGUAAAGUAAAUGUGUGGCUCAAAGUUUAGCAAGCAUGUAUAUAUGGCUGUGGUAGGAAUUUAAACUCUCAUCAUACAGGAACUCAUCAUGCAACAUUUUAAAGAUUUUUUCAAAGAUAAAUUUCUCCAGAAUUCUAGCAUCUCUAGGAACAGAUAAACAGCAGCUCAACCUUCCCAUAUCAUAUCCGUUAACGACUUAGACUUCAGAUCAAGUACUCUUCCCGCAAGUUCAGGUUUAGAGCAAAUCUUAAUUAAUACCAGUCAUGCCUAAACUUGAGAGAGAUUUCAAUUUAAGAACUAGUCAUAGCAGAGCAACUAUUCAUCAUUUCUAUGUGAGAGAUUAUCAUGAGGGUUCAUAGCAAACUUUAUUUAUUUAUUUAUUUAGCAAACUAAGCAAAGAUAUAUAUAUAUAUAUAUAUAUAUAUAUAUAUAUAAGCACAAAAUGUUUAUUUGGGUUUUUAUGAUUAUGCAUCUUUUUAUUAUUUGAGUAAAGUAUAAAUGUGAGUAGAAACACUUAGCUGGAUAAAUGGGGGUGCUCUCCCCUAAGCUGGAUUUUGACGAAGUUUCUUCUGAUGUAGCUAGCAGGUGGCGGAGGUGUAUUUGAAUGUCAGCACAUCCUGACAGUGAUUAGGAUGUCCUUCGUCAGCUAGUCUUCUUUGAUCCUUGAAUUCUGUGGAGCUCAAAUAGACAACAAAGCUUUGUGGAACUGGUUAAGUGUUAGCAUAAAUACCUAGCCUUUAUCAUGUUGAGCCUCCUCAAUAAAUGUUACUCUCUUUAGUAGGAUCAUAAAUUUAUUUUUAUAUUUUCAUUUUUAUAGGACAGGAAUACAUAUAUUUAUUUUUAUGCCACCACAGUGAAUGUACUUAUGGGUUUUAUGCCAUGAGCAUACUCACAUGGGGCUUACUAUUUUAAACAUUUUUAUUUUCUUUUCAAGAUAGCAUGAACUUGAUUAACUAGACAAACUAUUUUAAAUAAUUGAAAGGAAAAGAAUAACUACCAAGUUUACCUCUUGGCAAGGCGUUCGGUGUUUUAAGUCCUCCGAAUGGGACUCUCUGUUUUCUUAGUCGUCCUGGGAUUCGCUGCAUGGCGUAGUCGGUGGUUCCGGCGGUGCUUCCUCUUCGUGUAUAACUAUCUUCUCUCUCCACACCUGACUCGGUGCUACGGUCUCCUCAGGACAGUUCUGUUCAAGCUGUAUGUCUUCAGACCUCACUACUUCUCCUUCGUAGUCUGCCCAUCCAUCCUUGAUGAUUUGCCUCCUCUGGUUGCGGUUGCGUCGUCUUCUUCUUGUCCUGACCUGCUUAGAGUCUUCAACUAUAUAGUUAGGGUCAGUAAAAUAGCGGUGUACCUUCUCAGAGGGGAAAUGCAUGUGGACUUCUCCAGUUCCAAUGUAGAUGAUUGCUUUAAUGGUGCUGAGGAACGGUCUUCCAAGGAUGAUGGGUGGAUCGUACUCGUCUUCUCCCAUGUCAAUAACCUUCAAUUUUUUAGAAUGUCUGAUCUGUCAUCUGGAGCUGAAUGUAUGUUGGUUGUAGGGACAUGGUUCCAUGCAGGAGCUGAUAAGUGACUGCGGCCAUUAUGUUGACAUUAGAUCCGGUGUCGUAGAGUGUCUUCUGAAAAGAAUAUCCGUUGAUUGUGCACUCGAUGCUUGGGACACCAAGGUGGUCCUUCUUGAUCAAGAAAGGUGACUUGAGUUGACGAUCUUGACCUUCUUGAGCUGUAGUGAUCAUCUUAGCUGACUUGGUUCACAUUUGCUUGGUCUUGUUCCUCGUGUUGGUCCUCUUCCUUGGUUCAUGUCGGGAUUGCUCUGAGAUUUGUGUAGUCUUGUUCUCGAAGGAAAACGUCUCCGUCCUUCCCUUGAUGUAGAAACUGAUCUUGGUAGCAGUAGCGUAUAUGACAGCUCCUGAGGUGUUCAGGAAUGGCCUUGCUAGGAUGAUGGGUGCCCUCUCAUCAGUAUCAGUCUCUAUCAUCACGAAGUCUGCUGGAGCGUAUAAGGUACCAACUCGGACGUAGAGGUUCUUCAAUAUUCUCUUUGGGAAACUUAGCGUACGAUCUGCAAGCUGCAAACACAUGGCUAUUCCUAAUAAAGGAUGUGUAAAGAAUUUUUCAUAGAGUACCCUGGGCAUAAUGUUGAUGCUGGAGCCAAAGUCACAGAGUGCUUCUGGGAAGUCCACCAUGCCGAUGGAGAUCGGGAUGACAGGGCAUCCUGGAUUGUCUCUCUUGACCGGCAGAAGGUCAGUAAUUGCUUCCACAACGGGGUUACUCUAGUAGUUACGUCCUCAAGCAUCUCAAGGCAGUGAUUGCCUGAGUGUUCAGUCUCUCCAGUGUGUUUGUGCUCGUAGAUACAAGUUCUUCACUUGGUGGAGUCUAGGAGUUGUAAAAGUCCUUUAUAUUUUGCUCGAAGUGUACCUGCUCAUAGAGACAAGGCAGAGAUCAAGUGCAUGGGCCCUGUUGGUGGAAAACACCAACAGAACCAAAAGUGUAUUUGUUCUCUCUAACCUUAAGCAUAGUAAGCAAGACAAAGUUGAUGGAUAAUAAGAUCAUGAGUGUAGCAUUUAAAACAUUUGUCAGAUCAGAUUGCUCAACCUUAUGGAAAGAUAAUCUAUCUAUAUAUAUGUUUUGUUUAUAUCUUCCAAAGAUUGAGUGUGCAACAUUUUAGCUAAUAUGAUUAGGAGUGUGGAAUCACAAAGGUGGAAGGACUAAACAUGUUGAAUCGAUUUGGUUGGUUAAUCUAGAGUUGUAGAUCAUACAUGUUUGUCUCUUUUAUUCAUGCGAACGCCUGAACCAAGGAGAAGCUUAUAGAAGUGAUAGUCAAGUACUUUAAGAUGUUACCUUACUUGAAGAGUGAUGGUACAGUAUCACCUUGUGGAAGCUUUCCUCUCUUAGCGGUUGUGCAUCGUGUUUUUGGCACCCUCCAUGGAUCAUCUCUUGUGAGCUAUGCCUUCCUUGUGUAAAUUGUUAAACUUCGUGUGUCUCUCUCUUUAUCUCCAAUGUGAGUUUAUCUCAGGACUUCCCAGGUCAAUAUUGAAAGUUUUCCUACAGGGGUUAGUCCAACAAAAUAUCCAUUAUCUACUAUAGCAUACUAUCGGCUCAAAGAUCAACCUAGACACCAUGUCUAAUUUGAUUUAGGAGGGCAUUUUAACCUAAGCAUCAUGCUUAAUUUAAACUCCCUUGGAAGUAAGAUCAUCAGCCCUAAACUAAGCACCAUGCUUAAUUAAGAGAUAAAUGAAACUACUCCAAACCUAGACAUAUACUAAAGCAAAUAAAGGUGGCAUGAGAGCAUUUAUAGAGAUCUACUCAAGUGGAGAUGAAGUAGUGUGAUUAGUAUUUAACAAAUUGAGCAUGUCUCAAAGGUAAGGACAACCAACAUAGCAACAUGGCAAAGGAUGUUUUUAUGUAAAGUACUCCCCCAAGAUUGAAUUUUGCAAAAUUCAAGUUUGGAUGAAUUUAAUUCAAUGUUGUAUGAUGAUUGGUUGGACAUACCUUGUGCUUGUCAUUCAUCCGAUCUUCUUGCUCCAAUCCUGGAAAGGUUAGUGACAAGAAUACCCGAAGGAAUUUUUUACAAUUAUACUUAUAUGCUAAACACACAAGGUAAUGUUGCAAAUAAUUAAGAGCUCAUGUUACAAUCUGAUCAGUGCUUGUUUUAGGACACUAAGCUUGUCCUUGGGAAACCAUCAAUUUAUGUCAGUGAAGUGGUUUCCCCUCCAACGCUGACCUAUAUCAAGAUCAACUCAACGAGAUCUGCAAUAUUUAAUAUAGACAUAUGCAUCGACAACCACCCUUUUAAAGUUUUUAUAAAUAGAAAGGAUGAGGGGGUUGGAGAUCUCGAAUGUGGUGAUGUUGGAGAGGCCAAUGGAUUGUGAAGAUGUUGCAUAUGAGCAUGGAGUAAAUGAAGUGGCUAUGAAAUAAAUUCCAUGCUCAUUAAUGCUUAGAGUGAAAUCCAUGUGGUAUGGUGAAAAUGAUAAGGUGAGUGUGGUAAAAAAGGAAAAGAAAAAAGGAUACACGGACGACUUGGUUCGAAACUAGCACAACUACCGUUCCCCGGCAACGGCGCCAGAAAGCUUGUUGGGUAUUUUAAACGCAAACAGAAAAACCCGCAAGCGCACGGAUACCGAUGUACCUUUCACCCGGGAGUAUUCCAGAGUAUCGAUUUUCCACAGAGAACGUGUGUGUACUAAUUAAGAUCCAAGAUCGCCCAAGGAUAACUAUAUAAUUAUUUUUGGUGGGAAGAGAGGAAGUUUCCUGAGAGUUCUCUAGUUGAUCUAAGAAUCAAGAAUUACUUCAAAAUUAUCUAUAUCGGGACAUCAGAGCACUAACCACAGAAAGAGAUGAGAAGGGGGCUAGGAAGGUCUGACUACGGUCCUACAAACACCGAUCCGAACGUGGUCGAAUACGUCGACCAUUAGGGCUGUCACUACCCUAAGGAUACCACAACAAUCCGCAGGAUUGGGUGCAAUUCCAGGUAAUUGCAAGACUAAACACCACGUCUAAUCUAUUAAUUACUACUCUAAUGUUUCAAAGAUUAGAGCACUUGAUGCAAGCGGGAAUCCAAUAAAUAACUUGAAUGUAAAUAAAAGUAAUUAGAGAACUCAGGAGUUAUGAGUUGAAGAACCUGGAGAACAAUGAAGAACGAACCAGUUGCUGCAAAAGUACAAUGUUGAGGAAGAUCCGACAGAUCCGGCUCCUCCUUCUCUCUCCUAUUCUCUCUCCCUAUUUUCUAGAUUACAACUAGAACUAACUAGAACUAGAACUAGAGGAACUAGAACUAGAACUAGAUGAACUAGAACUAGAUCUAGAUGAACUAGAGGUAGAACUAGAAGAACUAGAGGGAUCCUCUCUACUUGGAUGAAGAAUUGAAACCCUAGCUUUGAUUCUGUAGAAGAGGUAUGAUCUCCAGGGGCCAGGGGGCCUUGCUUAUAUAGUCUUUUCAGAUGAAUCUGGGCCGUCAGAUCAAACCGACAUUGAUCGUGUGGUUUUCCUUGAAGUAUUAGGUCGGUGGAGCAUGAACCCCGAACUUCACCCUGAUUGGUCUAGGGGGGAGGGCGGGCGCCCUCAGGACUAAGGCGGGCGCCCUGUCCCUGAGGCCUCUCGUCUUCCGCUUCGGUCCCGUGGCUUCUGGAGUCUUCUAGAUGAUAGAAAAUUGUGCGGCACGUUAAUAUCUCUAUGUAAACCCGACGUGUGGGCCUUUCUUCCGUAUUUCCUGAUAACCCCCUGCAGAAAUAGACAAACACCAAAACUCGUGGAAUUCUGUCAGAUAAAACCCUAAGUCUAGGUGUUGGUUGAAUAUAAGUCCUUUUCCAUGAUUAGUUGAUGGUUAAAUGUGAGCAUUAAAGACCGUCAACAACAACCUCCCUCUGUAUGGGACCGGACGCUGCCCGGUGAGUCCGGUGCCAGCGUCCAGUGCUUAACCCUAAGCACCGAGAACUCCCAAUGGCUAAGGACCUCACCGGACGCACUCACAGAGCGUCCGUUCCAGCGUCCGGUGCCCCAUUGGGCACCCUAACUUCGUUGAAACGCGAUCGCUUCAAAACGAAGUUGGUUCCUCUCGAUCUAAGGACUGUCUCUGAGCUACCUAGUGCUAGGUUUACCAAGUGUGCACCACACCUAAACCUAAAGCCUUGCCUAAGUCAAGCUACUAGAUCAAAGCCCCUCUUAAUAGUACGGUCAAAGGAAAACAAAGUCCUAAACUACUCUAAGUGCCCUUCUUCACCAUAUGGCACUUAGACCUAGUCUAGUCUUGACGAUGUCCAUCCAUCCUUUGAAAACCGAAACGAUUUCCACUAUUAAGUAGGCAGGUACGUCGCUGUCCAUCGAGUACCUAUUACCAUGACCUUACCUAUGACUUUGCCUCUGCAAAACACACGUUAGUCAUAGUAAUCAAUAUUGUCAUUAAUCACCGAAAUCACUAGGGGCCUAGAUGCUCUUUCAAUCUCCCCCUUUUUGGUGAUUGAUGACAACCUCGAGUAUGAAAAGAGUUGAGGUUUUCAAGUGACUUGGUUUCAAUAAGCAUGAUACAAUAACAACAAAAGGGAUUAGACAUGCUUAUAUCAACCAAGUCCAACAUCCUGCAUCCAAAUAUGUGAGUGGUAUACGACAGGAUAUAAACACAAGGCUCAUAAGUACAUCGGAGUAAAAACGCGGAAACAAAGAUAAUAUGAGCCAAAACACAUGACUAUAAGAUAUCACAUUAAGCACAAGUCAUGUCUCACAACUUUAGUGUAUCUCACACAAAUGCAAUGCAUAAAAGUAAACGUGAUGCAUGAUGGAGUAGCACACAUAAAAGUAUCUCAAAAGAAUAAAACCCCUCUCUAGCUUUCCAGCUCCCCCUAACUCUCAUACUCCUAACAUACUCCUAACCCUCUCUCCCCCUUUGGCAUCAAGCGCCAAAAACCUAAGAAGACGGUGGAGGAGGCGAAGCAAUGGAGUCCCUCGGCACGGCCUCAAAGCGAGCUGCAUCGUCGGAACCUUCGGCCGUCGAGGCGGAGGAGAUGGAGUGACCCUCUGACGGUGCACGAGCUGGCGAAGCGGUCCGGGUCUGCUCUGUAGGUGCGGGAGCUGUCACUGGCUGUGCGGGCUGCUCGAGUCCUGGCUGGCACGGACUCGGUCGCUGUAGCUGAAGUCUCUGGCACUGUAGAUGAAGGUGCUAGCUACUUAGACGACGCUACGGACGACGACAGACGCUCAGUAGUGGUGACUGGCGCCAUAAAGGCUGCAGGAGCCUACAGGGUUGGAGGUGUAGGGUCACCAGUCAGAGCACUGUAAGAGAAGCUGAGGUGCGGGUCUGUCGACAUGUCCAAUACAAGCUGAGACGCUGACGCUGACUGUGGAGUGAAACCAGAGCGGAGAGGCAAAAACUGUGGUACCUGCUCAAAACCAGAGGAGAUAGCACCCUGGGACACCUGGUGCUGAGGCGUCGAGAACGGCUGACUCUGAGCAGGUAGCUGGAGAGGCUGUUGUGACUGACUCUGAGUCUGAGGCGCUGGAGUGGGUGGCCUGACAGUCGAAGUGCCUGGGAGCUGAAUCUGCGGAAUCUGAAUCCCUAAGGCGGCCAUGAGAGCGGCCAUCAUCGCUGUCUGCUGGGCCGGGAAAGCAAGCUGCUGCUCCUAAAAGGUGAGAAGCUGUCGCUGGAGCUCAUCCUGCCUAGCCUGCACGGCUGCAUUGAUGGCAGCAUGGUCCCUGUCUCUCCUCGCCUGCUAAACAGCUGCUCGGCACUGAUCUGCCCUCAUACCCUCUAAGAUAGCAAGCAAAGCGGGGUCUGAAGCACUCGAAGAGCCCCCUGCCUCAUGGUCGUGUGCACUAGGAGGGAGGUCUGUCACUAGAGGCUGAUAGUCAUCAUCCAAGCUGGCUGAAGCGAAGUCAAACUCUCCCUUAGCCUCUGCAUCUGCGAAAGCCCCAAUGGCUAUGUCCUGCUGCUCCUCUGUCUCUGGUACUGCUGCUGUACAGCGAGUGCCCCUAGGAGAAGGUGGGGGCACCGGUCCACGUGGUGCACGAGGAGGUGGAGUAGCUCGGAGGUCGUGGUGCGCUCGCAACAUCUGCCUAGGGUCGUAGUGGGGGAAGACGGUGUCUGAGUCUGUCAACUUCCUCUGUAAGUGAGCUGGCAGGGGCACGGGCCUAGCACGAAGAAUAAGCAAGGUGAUCUAAUGUGCGUACGGCAACUGACACCGUCCCCUGAAGCUCUCUGAGAUGGUGUCCUCAAUCUCUGAGACUAUCAGAUCCCAUAGGUCAAACGGUGUCUGUGAGAUGAGGUGAGCAACGAGCCACUGCUGGAUACGAGUGAAUCCGUCUCUGUAGCCUGUCCGAGGGAGAAGGGUCUUCCUCAACACAAAGUCGAGGAUCCUAGCUGGUCAUGUCAAGUCUCCCACUGUCCUGCUAGAGCCCUCUCCAAACGGCGGACGGAAACAAGGAGCCACGAAGUCAACUGGUGGUAUCUCACCACCAUGAGGACGACGAGGGGGCUCGAAGUUCCCGUAGCACAGCUGGUGAAUCCUGGUGGAGCAGGCUCUCAAACCAAGCACCUCUCUAGCCCUCUGAGCUGUGACCCUGUAGUCCGUCCCUACCAGUGCGUAGUGGAUAUAGCUGUGAUCUGGAGACACCCACACUGACGCGUAGAACUCUCUAACCCACUGCUCACAGUAAGUACCAGGGAGAGCUAGCAACUCUGGGAGUCCGUGGAGGUAGGUGAAGUACUGACGGAUGUCUGCUCCAACCACGUUCCCUAGUAUCUCAAGGUCAAUCACUCUGUGCUCCCUGAACUGAGACUGAGAAUGAACCAGUGCCUCGUAAAUGUCCUCCUGGACUAUUGUGUAGAACCUGGCACCGGCUCUGGGAUCCCUAGCAGCUGGAAACCAAGUAGGAAAAGGAACAAAGCGCAGCUGCUGGAUCUCUCUUGCUGACACAAGGGUGAGGUCCCUGUGUAUCCUGACUGGCCUCUGACGAGAAGCUGGUGUGCCUCUAGCUGGUGUGGCACGAGCAGCGGAGGUAGACUGGCCCUGCGUACCAGUCUGAGGAGUGGCCUGAGUACGAGUGCGGGUCGACCUCCUAAGGGGCUGCUCCUGCUCCUGUCCCUCUGCUGAGCCCUCUGCCUGAGCCUCGGUCUCUGCCACGGUGUCUGGGUCCUGGUCCUCCUGGGCGGGAUCUCUGACAUUGAUCCGCACACGCUGUCCUCCUAACAUGAUGGUGCCUGCAGGUGAUCCAUGACAUGCCUCGGCCUCAAGAACAGCAUGCCUCUGACGUGGUGUGAGAUCGGCCCCAAUCCUCAGGGCACCUGACCGUCCACCCCUCUCGGCUGCCUCUGCUGCAGCUGCAACUGCCUCGGCCACCUCUGCCUCUCUGUCGCUGAUCUUGCGCUUCUUGGUGGCUAACUUCUUGCCUUUGCCCUUCUCUGCCGCUGACAGGCGACGGGGAGGAUCACCUCCACCAUCACCUCCUAGGGAACCUCCAGCGCUGGCUGCCGGACCGCUGACAUUCUUGCAACGAGCCAUCGCAAGAACAAACGACUGAACGAACUGCCGGCAAAACAACCAACUGUCAACGGAGAUCAACGCGCUGCAGAGAAAAGACAAGAUAGGGUAUAUAUAAGAAAUCAUAAUAGCUAGAUGUGAGAAACCCUAUAGAUCGCAAGAUUAGAUAAAGAACGGGCGCGAACAUCUUACGAUCCAAGGACGAGACGCGUUCCGGAUGAGAUGUCGCAAUCGAAAGCUGCCGGAGAACGCGAAACGACUUCUCAAGGUGCUAUAAAGAUAGAAUGAAUCGAAUCGCCGUCAAAAUCAAUAAUUAGAUUCACUCACACAUUGAAGCAAACACCUUGAGGGCAAGAACUCAAGAGACUCACCCAAUCCCUCAAAUCCCCGCGAGAUGGGAUCUGCGCGAGUGGAGAAGGACGGGGGAGGGAUCUGGAGUGGAUCUGGCGCAAGGGAAGAACGGGAGAUCACUGGGAACACGAACUUCGACGGCGGCGGCGAUUAUAGGGCAUGGGCACGGGUUCUGGCGGAGAACUAGAGAUGAAAAGAAACGGCCGCGAGACACCCCCGGGCGCGGGCUUUAUGCGCCCACCACGGGGUCACCGGACGCUCUUAAUGUGGCACCGGACGCGUCCGGUGACCACCGAACUCAUGCGCAGAGAGGUAUGCAAAACGGCAUCGCACCGGACGAUGGCCACCGGACGCUGGCUUUAGCGUCCGGUGCUCCAGGGUAUGCAAGGUGAGCACCGGACGCACCACACCGGACGCUACAGGGGCACUGUUCCUGCGUCCGGUGAGUGCAAUCUGGCACACUCACCGCAUCGGACGCACAGAGACAGCGUCCGGUGCAUCGUCCGGUGCUCCUCUGAGCACUUUUUCAACUUAGCACUACGUCCGACUUUGACCCAACCAAGUUCCAUCUUCAAAGACACACAAAUAAACACCAAAUGGAACUGGUAUGAGUGACUUCUCUCAAACCCUCAAGUUUUCACAAAUAUUUAGCCAUAGGCUUAGUAGUUUUUAUAAAAAUAGUUCAAGAAAACGCCAAGGAGCAUCAUAUGGCCAUAAAGCUAGGGGUUUUAAUCAUAAUGAGCUUUGAAUGCUCCCCCUAUCUAUGGACGAACACAGCGGAUGUUCAAAGAAUAACGAAAAAGAAACGGUCAACCAACAAGCAUGCAUAUGAUACGAGUAAAAAUGCAAUACUUGAAAGUAAACUAAUGCUUGUCAAGUUUGAUCCAAGGUUAAGCUUUUUCACACACACAAGGGGGUUAUCUUAACCAUGUUAGACAAGCCCUACAUGCGAUUUUUGUAUUUUAGUUUUAGUAUGCAUGAUAUGCAAAGCAAAAGUUAUUUACAAGUUUCAACACACAACUUUUAUCUUUUAGUGAAGUUAGAGAGGUCAAGCACAUUAAGUUCAUUUCUUAACAUACAAAACCUAGCUUCAUCUAGGGGUUUUGUGAAGAUAUCCGCCAAUUGAUUUUCCGUUCCCACAUUCUCUAGAGAUAUGUCACCUUUAGCAACGUGAUCCCUAAGGAAGUGGUGACGGAUGUCAAUAUGUUUUGUGCGGGUGUGUUGAACCGGGUUGUUUGCAAGUUUUAUGGCACUUUCGUUGUCACACAACAAAGGUACUUUGUCUAGAAGUACUUCAUAGUCUAGCAAAGUUUGUUUCAUGUAGAGUAUUUGUGCACAACAAGCACCGGCGGCUAUGUAUUCCGCUUCGGCCGUUGACAAGGCAACACUAUUUUGUUUCAUUGACAUCCAAGAGACAAGUGAUCUACCUAGGAAAUGGCACCCUCCGGAUGUGCUUUUCCUAUCAAUCCGGCACCUGGCUUAAUCUGAAUCGGAGUAGCCGACAAGUUGGAAUCUUGCACUUUUGGGAUACCACAAACCUAGGCAAGGUGUGUAUUUUAGAUACCUAAGAAUUCUCUUGACCGUAAUCAAGUGAGAUUCCAUAGGCAUUGCUUGAAAUCUUGCACACAUACACACACUAAACAUGAUAUCGGGCCUAGAUGCGGUGAGGUAGAGUAGACUUCCUAUCAUGGAGCGUUAGAGAGUCUUGUCAAUUGGGUUACCUCCCUCAUCCAAGUCGAGAUGCCCAUUUAAUGCCAUGGGAGUCUUGAUUGGCUUGCAAUCCAUCAUCUUGAACCUCUUGAGAAGAUCUUGAGUGUACUUCUCUUGAGAGAUGAAGACUCAUUCCUUCAUUUGCUUGACUUGAAAUCCUAGGAAGAAGGAUAGCUCGCCAAUCAUGGACAUCUCAAACUCCUUAGACAUCAAAUCACCGAAUUCCUUGAAAAAAUCUUCAUUAGUAGAGCCAAAAAUAAUAUCAUCAACAUCAACUUGGCAAAUGAAGAUUUCCCCAUUCAUUUUCAUGGUGAAGAGUGUUGCGUCAACUUUCCCAAUCUUGAAGCCCUUCUCAAUGAGGAAGUCCCUAAGCCUCUCAUACCAAGCUCUAGGAGCUUGCUUGAGACCAUAGAGAGCCUUGGACAACCGGUAGACAUGCUUGGGGUACCUAGGGUCUUCAAAACCGGGGGGUUGCUCAACAAAGACAAGCUCAUUAAUAUAACCAUUCAAAAAAGCACUUUUCACAUCCAUUUGAAAUAACUUGAUAUCAUGACUAGAUGCAUAUGCAAGUAGGAUACGGAUUGCUUCAAGUCUUGCCACCGGUGCAAAGGUUUCACCGAAGUCAAGACCUUCCACUUGUGAAAAGCCUUUUGCCACAAGUCUUGCUUUGUUGCGCACCACUUUGCCUUGAUCAUCCUUCUUGUUCCGGAAGACCCACUUUGUUCAAAUCACUCAUGCAUCUUUGGGUCGCUCUUCAAGUGUCCAUACUUGGUUGUGAGAGAAGUUGUUCAACUCCUCUUGCAUAGCCAUGAUCCAAUCCGCAUCACCAAGAGCUUCCUCUAUGGUCUUUGGUUCAUCUUCAAGAGACACAAAAGCGUGAUGUUCAAUAAAUAAAGCAUGUCUAGAACGAGUAGUUACACCACGUGAUGGACUCCCGAUGAUGAGAUCUUGAGAGUGAUCUUGGAGGAGAUGUGAUGUUCUUCUUGGUGCCACUUGAGGGGUUGGUUGGGGAGCCUCAACAUCUUGUGCUUGUGCCACCGCUUGCUCAUGAGUGACUUGAGUGUUUUCAUGAGCAUCUCUCACAUCCUUGUCUUCAUCUUGUGGUACAUGUGAGGUGGAUGGUGGCUCAAUAACUUGCACAUCAUCAUCGUCUUCUUUUGGCUUGAUGUCUCCCACCGGCAUGUUCUUCAUGGCAUCCCUCAAUGGUUCACCACCUACAUCAUCAAGAUUAUCACUUGCUCCUUGGGAGCCAUUAGUUUCAUGAAAUUCAACAUCAAAUGUUUCUUCAACCAUGUUUGUGGCAUGGUUAAAGACUCUAUAUGCCUUGGACUUUGAUGAAUAGCCACUCAAGUAGCCAAUGUCACAUCUUCUUUGGAACUUUCCCAAGUGUUGGCGCUUCUUGUAGAUGUAGCAUUUGCAUCCAAACACUCUAAAGAAUGAGACAUCGGGCUUCAUCCCAUUGAGCAACUCAUAUGGUGUCUUCUCUAGGAACUUGUGAGGAAAGAGCCGGUUUGAAGCAUAGCAUGCGGUGUUGAUUGCCUCGGCCCACAUCUUCUCCGAAGUGUUGUACUCAUCUAGCAUUGUUCUUGCCAAGGUGAUCAAUGUCCGGUUCUUUCUUUCUACAACCCCAUUUUGUUGUGGUGUGUAUGUUGAGGAGAACUCAUGCUUGAUUCCCACUUCAUCACAAUACUCUUAAAUGUUGGUGUUGUCAAACUCUUUGCCAUUGUCACUUCUAAUCUUCUUGAUCUUCACAUCAAAUUGAUUUUGGGCAUUCUUUGCAAACUUCUUGAAUAUUGAUGCAACUUCGGCCUUGUCUUGCAAGAAGAAUAUCCAAGUGUACCGGGAGAAAUCAUCAACUAUGACCAAGCAAUAUUUGUUGCCUCCAAUACUAGCAUAUGUGGUUGGUCCAAAUAGAUCCAUGUGCAGUAGCUCAAGCACUCUAUAGUAGAGAGAUAGGCCUUGAUUGGAUGAGUGUUUGCAACUUGCUUGCCGGCUUGACAUGCACUACAAAGCUUGUCCUUCUCAAAUGUUACAUCCUUCAAGCCUCUAAUUAAUUCUUUCUUCAUUAACUUCUUGAGUGUGCCCAUUCCAACAUGUGCUAACCUUCUAUGCCACAACCACCCAAUUGAAGUCUUGGUGAAUAAGCAAGUCUUGACAUCAACCUCAUCGGAUGAGAAAUCAACUACAUAUAGGUUGUUGUGUCGGAAGCCUUUGAAUAUCACUUCAUUGUCAUCUUCCUUGGUCACAAUCACUUCCUUUCUUCUUGAAUAGGCAUUCAAAUCCAAGAUCACAAAGUUGUCCAACCGAGAGCAAGUUGAAACUCAAUGAUUGCACAUAGAGCACAUUGUUGAUGGAGUUGUCAUUUGAUAUAGCAACCUUUCCUAGUCCCUUGACCUUUCCUUUUGAAUUGUCACCAAAUGUGAUCUUCUCUUGAUUGUCAACAUCUUCAUCAAGAGAGGUGAACAUCCAGGGAUCUCCGGUCAUAUGUUGCGUGCAACCACUAUCAAUUACCCAAUGUGAUCCACCGAUCUUGUAGUUCACCUACACACAAGAGAUCAAGCUUGAGAUUUAGGGACCCACAUUUGCUUAGGGCCCUUGACCAUCUCUACUAGUUGCUUUGGCACCCAAAUCUUCUUUGGUCUUUGCUUGUUGGGUGGCCCCAUGAAGCUAACCUUGACCUUGCCACACUUGUCUUUCCUUACAAUGUAGUGAGCAUUGAAGGCAAAUGGUCUUGCAUGCUUGGGCAAGGGUGGUGGUAGUGGUGCCUUACACUCAUGAGCAAAGUGUCCUUCUUGGCCACACUCAAAGCAUCUCUUUGGCUUUGGCUUGCUUGGUUGAUCAUGAGUGCCUAGUGACUUGAUGAGCUUUGUUUGAUGAGCUUUGUAGCCAAUUCCACUCUUGUCCACCUUCAUGACGAUGUUCAUGAAAAGCUCACUUUGAAGGUCCUUCCCCUUGGUGAACUUUACUAACCCCAUGGUUAUAUGUUCCUUCUCUUUCUUGAGCUUGUUGUUCUCUUGAGUUAGCUUCUUGAUGAUUGGGUCAUUGUUGCUUGCUAACUCAUCCAAGAUGAAUGUCUCAUCUUCUUCUUGCUUGACAUACAUCAAACCAAGCUUGAGAUAUUGAUUUUCUUCCUUGAGCAACUUGUCCUCAGAUGCAAGCUUCUUGUCUUCAUUAAGUGACUCAAUCACAAUGGUCUUGUGCUUGGCCUGGUCUUGCAACUCUUUCUUGAGCAUGACAAUUUCAUCCUUGAACUUGAUAGUGUCCUCAUAGCUCUCGGCCACUACCACUUUCUUGCCCUUGCAAUCAACACAUUUGCUUGUGCUCUCCACAAGUAAGUCAUCACAAGAUGUGGCUAUAUCAAGCUUAGCAACAUUGUUAGUAGCAACAUGUGUUUCAUCAAUUGCAAGUUCAUAAGCAAUCUCAAGGUUGUCAUAGUUUGCUUUUAGAGUUGUUAGUUCUUCUUUCAUUGCUCUAUAUCUAGUGAUAAGCUCAUCAUGAACACUCUCAAGUUUAUCAUGUUUUUCUUUAAGCUCUUUUAGAGAGAGUUUGAGCUCCUUGAGCUUAGUGGUCAUGAUCUCAUUUUGGUCUCUAAGCUCAUCACUAGACUUAAGCUUUGCUAGAAGUGUUUCAUUUUCAAGUUCAAGCUUUUCAUUUUCACUUCUAGAUUUUCUUAUGACUUUUGUGUACUUGUUAAGAAAUUUUACAAGUUCAUCAUAAGAAGGUGAUUCGUAUUCACUAUCACUUUCACUACUCUCAUCCUCACUUUGUACCUUCCGGUCACCCUUAGCCAUGAGGCAUAGGUGUGUAGAGGAUGAAGAUGGUGGUGAAGAUGAUGGUGAUGAAGCAUCGAUGUCAAUGGCGGCAACCUUCUCAUCAUCACUCUCAUUGCCGGAGGAGUCACCACUUGAGCUCUCAAUGUCGGUGAGCCAAUCACCAACAAUGUAAGCCUUGCCAUUCUUCUUCUUGUAGUGCUCCUUCUUCUUACCACCUUUCUUCUUGUAUUGCUUCUUCUCGUUCUUGUCAUCAUCACUUGAGUCAUCUUGCUCUUUGUUCUUCUUCUUGUAUUUCUCCUUCUUGGGCUUUGGACAUUGGUGAGCAAGAUGGCCAAGCUCACCACAAUUGUAGCAAUCCAUCUCGGAGAUGGGCUUUCUCUUGCUACUUGUGAAGAACUUCUUCUUCUUGGAGUCAAAGUUGACUCCAUUCUUGAGUUUCUUCAACAUCUUUGUGGUUAUUCUCACCAUGAGGGCAGUAGAUGCAUCAUCAUCACUUGAAGUUGAUGACUCAACUUCAAUCUUCUUGGCCUUGCCCUUGUGAGAAGCUUUGAGGGCCAAGUCCUUCUUCUCCUUCUUGGCCGAUGAGGAGCCAUCUUGGGGAUUCAUGUGCAUGUACAUUUCAUGAGCAUUGAUCUUCCCCAAUAUGGCGGUUGGUGUAGCGGUGGAAAGAUCUCCUUGAUGAAGCACCGUUACUAUGUGCCCAUAUUUCUCAAUGGGAAGCACACAUAGUAUCGUCCUUGCUACAUCCGCCGCACUCAUUUGAGUGAGCCCAAGUCUAUUUAGCUCCUCUACAAUGACAUUGAAGCGAGAAUACAUUUCAUUAGCAUUUUCUUUAGGAAGCAUCUCAAAUGUAUUAAGCUUGUUCAUCACUAGGUGAUAGCGUUCCUCGCGUUCACUCUUGGAUCCCUCAUGGAGCGCACAAAGUUCCUUCCAAAGGGCAUUGGCGGUUUUGUGGCUCCGAACGUGGUUGAACACCUCUUUGCAAAGGCCUCUAAAGAUGUGGUUUUUGGCCUUCGCAUUCCACUUCUCGUUUUCUUGCUCUUGUGGAGUAAAAGCGAUGUCUUUAGCCGGAGGGGUAAACCCUUCGGUCGCGGCUUUUAGGCACUUUACAUCGCAUGCCUCAAGGUAUGACUCCAUCCGUAUUUUCCAAUACGGGAAGUCAUCCCCAUCAAACAUGGGUGGCGGUCCUUCCCCGUUAGACAUCUUUUCGCUAGGCGGUGAAGCCUAAAUAAUGAGCACUAGGCUCUGAUACCAAUUGAAAGGAUCAAGAUGCCCAAGAGGGGGGGUGAAUUGGGCUUUUCUAAAAAUUUAAGCAACCUAUAAGCUCCAAUUCAACCCCUUGUGCCUAGUGUGACCUAGAGAGCUACCGGAUAAAAGUUUUGCAACCUAGUUCCAAUCCUAUUCUAGCAAGGCAAUUCUAAGAAUGUAAAAACACAAAGUAAAUGCUAGAAUGUAAAGGAGUAGUGGAAGAAAGUGCUCGGCGACGUUUUGCCGAGGUAUCGGAGAGUCGCCACUCUCCACUAGUCCUCGUUGGAGCACCCGCGCAAGGGUCUUGCUCCCCCUUGGUCCGCGCAAGGACCAAGUGCUCUCUACGGGCUGAUUCUUUGACACUCCGUCGCGGUGAAUCGCCCAAAACCGCUCACAAUUGACACGAGCCACCCACAAGAACUCUGGGCGGUCUUCGUGCCUCCAAUCACCACCGAACCGUCUAGGUGAUGGCGAUCACCAAGAGUAACAAGCAAAGAACUCUCACUUGACCCAAACAAAGCACUAGAGAGUGGUGGAUGCACACUUGACUCUUGGAAUUCACUAGAGAAGGAUUCUCUCAAGAAAUCACUCAAAUCUCAAUCCUCUCUAGGCUCUUGCUACUCUCUUGCUCCACAACAAGUUUCUCUGAUGUUCAAAUGGGCAAGAGACCUCUCAUGGAUGAGGUGGAGGAGUAUAAAUACUAUCCACGAAGUCCAAAGGUCAGCCAACCGUUUUCCACUGAAAACGGGGUCACCGGACGCACAUUAUGUUGCACCGGACGCACUGCACCGAGCGUCCGGUGCUCCAUAACGGCUAACUGUACUUGCUUCUGACAGGUCACCGGACGCUAACUUCUAGCGUCCGGUGCACCGUCCGGUGCUCUGGGAAGAUUUACAUGCUCCCUGCGCAUGGGACCGGACGCUACCCGGUGCGUCCGGUGCUAGCGUCCGGUGCUCGGGGAAGGUUUACAACCUCCCUCUGUAUGGGACCGGACGCUGCCCGGUGAGUCUGGUGCCAGCGUCCAGUGCUUAACCCUAAGCACCGAGAACUUCCAAUGGCUAAGGACCUCACCGGACGCACUCACAGAGCGUCCGGUGCCCCAUUGGGCACCCUAACUUCGUUGAAACGCGAUUGCUUCAAAACGAAGUUGGUUCCUCUCGAUCUAAGGACUGUCUUUGAGCUGCCUAGUGCUAGGUUUACCAAGUGUGCACCACACCUAAACCUAAAGCCUUGCCUAAGUCAAGCUACUAGAUCAAAGCCCCUCUUAAUAGUACGGUCAAAGGAAAACAAAGUCCUAAACUACUCUAAGUGCCCUUCUUCACCAUAUGGCACUUAGACCUAGUCUAGUCUUGACGAUGUCCAUCCAUCCUUUGAAAACCGAAACGAUUUCCACUAUUAAGUAGGCAGGUACGUCGCUGUCCAUCGAGUACCUAUUACCAUGACCUUACCUAUGACUUUGCCUCUGCAAAACACACGUUAGUCAUAGUAAUCAAUAUUGUCAUUAAUCACCGAAAUCACUAGGGGCCUAGAUGCUCUUUCAGGUAUGUUGUACUAUCAAGGGAAAUGUAAUACGAAUGAUAGACAAGUCUCAAGUGCUCAAACUAACCGAACCCAAGUGCUAACAUGAGAGAAAACACUUAGAACUGCACCUGCACAAUUUGAUCUUGGAGCUUGUUCUCUGUAGGGUUGGAUAGCCCUCGAAACAAGCUUUCCGAAAAGUCCAAGAUCACUGCAAACGGAGUUCGAAGUAAAAAGUUAUGGCUUUUUCCAUAAGGUGAAUUGUGCUAUUUUAACAAGGGCGACAGUGCCGCACAUUGUUGACACUUACUAACACCACUUUGAUACUAGGUUGUCAUCCCCAGCAUGGUGCCAGAGUGUACAAAGGUAUUUAUGAAUGUAAAAGCUCUCUAGAAAAUAAUCUAUUCUAUCCGCAAGUGCACAGAUAAAACACCUCAUUGUAGCAUUUUACCAGGAAAGUAUUCCAGGUAUCAUUAUUUAUAAUUUUUGCUUAAGAGAACAGUGGAGAUGAAGAUAAGGAUAAAAUCUAUCAAGGCAUAGACUAGAGAUAAACUUGCAAGAACAUGAUUACUAAUGAGGAACUCGUCACACAGUCACUUACUUUAGCAGGGGGUAAGCCAUAAUAAUAAUGAUAAUGAAAUUUAAGCUCAUGGGUAAAUAACACAACGAUUAGAAAAUAGACUACUCCUCAUAUAUGUAAGGUGACGUCGGAUUAGCUAGAGAAUGGAUUCUAAGCUAUCUACUAUCUACUAAGUCACAAUCUACUCUAGUUAUCUACAAGAUCGUAUAUAGCCUAAAAGACUCUUCAUUCAUGUAUAAGGAACAUUGCUAAAGUAAAUCAGAGCAUCGCAAGACUUACUCCGCAAUACAAAUUCUGCCUGUCCUAUCAACGGAGGGUGGACUAUAUAAGAAUCAAUGAAGAUGUCACUAUCGCGAACUACCACACGACCCGGCCAAUAGGAUACAUUUGCAGGUAAAUAACAUCUAAGCACCACGCCCACAUGUGAUCUACCACUUAACUCCCGCGCGUCAAGAGCUAAGCGCUAUGCAAACUUAUACAUAAACUCAUUAUCAAUCAUAACUAUAUCAAAUAUAGAACUAGAGCAAACUAAGAUCAUAUUAAAUAGAGACAUAAUGCAAUUAGAAUAAAGUAGUAGAGAAAGAUAUGAAAUAAUACCAAUCUUUAUUAAUGAAGAUCCGAAUCCAGAGCGCUAGGCUCUACUUCUCUAAUUCUAUCUAAUCAAUCCUAUAGAACUUGAAGGAUUAGGGAGUAGCUAAUUCUAAUUCUCUGUGGGAGAGAAGUCCUAAAACCCUAACUUUGAUGGCUUCCUCUGAAAAUGAUUUCUCCUCUCUCCCCCUGGGGUGGAGAGGCCUUGCUUAUAUAGUCCCCUCAAGUGAAUUUGGGUCGUCGGAUCAAACCGACAUUGAUCGCACGGUUUUCCUUGAUCCUUUAGAUCGGUGGAGCAUAAUCCGCGAGGUUGGACGUGAUUGGCCCCGAGGCUAGGGCGGGCGCCCAAGGGGGGAGGGCAGGCGCCCUGCCCCCGAGCCCGUCCUGUCUCCCGUUCGUUCCUGUGACUUCUGGACUCUUCUAGAUUAAGGAAAAUUGCGCGGCACGUAAUUAUCUCGUUGUAAACAUGACAUGUGGGCCUUCUCUCCAUAUUUUCUGAUAACCCCCUGCAGAAAUAGACAAACACCAAAGCUCAUGGAAUUCUAUCAGUUAAAACCCUAAUUCUAGAUGUUUGGUCCAUAUUGAUCCUUUUCCAUGUUUAGUUGAUGGUUAAAUUUAGAACUUAAGGACCGUCAACAAACUCCCCCAAGCUUACCCUUUGCUCGUCCCUGAGCAAACAACUAAACUCAGAUGGAUCAGGAGUUGCUUGGAUGUUUUCUUUCCUGACAGGCACACAUGCUUUCACAUAAAAAAUCUUCCAAUUUAGAGUGAAGUGUCAUGAAGCUUAGUACCUGAACUUGAGUCUUAAGUAAUCGAAAGACAAAAUAAUUCCAUAGUUUUGCAUAAGUUUUCAAAAAUAAAGCUCAGAGUUCCCAGCUAUGAUUCUCUCAAGUAUUUAAGUGGAGCUCAUAGGAGUGAAAAACAGCUCAUACAUAUGUUGUCUAAUCGAGCCAUGGAUCCAAAGGAACUCAGCAUAUAAUUAAAUUAAGAUGUGCAUGUGUGGUGGAGUAAAUGAUAGUAAUGGUGGAAAUAUAUGUAAUGAUAAAACUUACUUCUCAUUGCUCCUCACCUUGCUAUCUCUCCUCUUCUUUGAUCUUUGCUUUGGGAGAACAUGGGCUAUCUUUUUUCUCUCUUUUUUUCAGGUGGGUAGUAGAUACCCCUAAUUCUAUUGUCGGACACUUGUCCAUUUUUUUUCCGCUCAAGUGGGCAUCUUUGUACCCCUAAUUCUACUCCGGACACUUGUCCAUUUUUACCUCUCAUCUCACUCUUUUUUUCUUUCUUUUUCGAGGUUCCGGGCACUUGCCCCUUUUUAUUUCCUCGCAUAUUUUUGCAUAACCCAUGCCUCUUCUACAUUGAAUCUUUUUGGAGAGAGAGAAUAACCACACUUGGGACAGUGAGUGAUAAUAUUUUUAGCAAUUUUAAUGAAUGGUGGUGGAUGGUGUAGUAGAUGUGUGCAAGUGAAUAUCUUAAUUUAACCACAUGAGAAGCUCCUAAGGGUCUACAUAGCUCGAUCAAACUCAAUGUGAAUAUAGUAAAAGAUGUUAUAGCAAGUAUGGCUAUGGUAGAAAUUUUGUCAUGCUAGGAACUCAUCAUGUAAUUUGCAAGUUUUCAAAAUAAAUCUCCAGAACUUAGUGUAGUAGGAACAAGAUAAACAGUAGCUCAAACUUUAUAUCAUGCAUUUCUCUUACCUAGACUU
rnacentral:lncRNA from 1 species